rnacentral:lncRNA from 1 species
GUUCCCCUGGUUCUGAUUCUGGACUAGUAUCUGCAUCAAUGCAUUCUGCUGCUGGAUCAACUGAGUGAGCUCCGGUGGGAAAGCAAAUCCAUUGUCGCGUCUCGGAGGCAUCUGCUGGGUUUAGAAAAGAUGAGAAAACAGAAUAGAAUGAGGUCUAGAGGGAAAACACUACCCAUAUGCACAUGAGACAAACACAAACAUAUCACUCAAUCAAUCAAACAAGGGCAUACAAUCGGUCUAGAACUAUCGUUACAAAAGUGUUUGGACUAUACUAUAUACAUGGUGGAAUACUACUACUGAUAUGGUGGUCGAUUAGAAAAAUUGAUCGGUCGAAGACUCCAUGAUAUCUGCUCCAGCUUCAUCAACAUAGUCAUCAUCGCUAUCGUCAGGGUCCGAGUCGGUGUCGUCGAUGAUAAUAUAGUUCUCCAGGCAAGUGGAACUGUCAUCUUCUCCUCCUGGUGCAGGGUCUCCCAUGAAAACUCCUAGCUUCUUUGUCAGGUCGCCAUUCUUCUCUACUAGUGCGACGAUUUCCUCCAUAUACUCCUCGCGUGUAGCCUUGAGUUCUUCCUCCAGCUCCGUGAUCCUUGUCAUUGCCUUCUUCAAUCCGCCAUGCCUGCGCACAUCUGGUUCUCCUGGCGCCGAAUGUGCUGGUUUAACUCCUGGAUGAAAGAGGCAAUCGAUCUAUCCUUCCUGGUACUGAUCAUCUCCCAUUUCUCAUCUCGGCGCCCACAAAUCUGGUAGAUUGUAUCCUUGAGGUCAUUGUGGUAAACUUCUCCAAUGCGUCCCAUGGUAAUGUGAGCUGCCAUACUCUUUCCUAGACUGCAGGUUGGUGCAUCGAAAGAAAACUCUAUGGGCUCAGUGACUGGCGUGAACGUCCUUCCUGGAACUUGAACUUGAAUCAUCCAGCGCUCCUCUUCUGGUAAAGUGGCGUUGUAGGUCCCGGUGAAUCUUGGUAUUCCAAUGUUCACGUACUUAGUAACUUCCUUCAAGUGGCGUCCAAAUGGGGUGUCUUCAUCCGGUUGCAUGAACUUAAUCCUUGCAUCCGCCAUCCUAAAGAGUAGAAAAUGGAGAGGAGUUAGAAAUGAGGAGAGAGUAGUGGUCUAGGGCUUUAGCUUAGCGGUCGUGUCCUACAGUCAGCGUGUGCUUUGAUACCAUCUUUGUAGCGACCAGACCUCAAACAGUCUGAUCUCUGUGCAUAAGUGUCAUCCCUGGAUCGGUAAUGCUCACACACACAGUACUUGGAGAAUUUAUAACAGAGUAGCAAUCACACACUUAUUACAUCGAAUGUCUCAAAAGAGAACUUACUACAAUAAAUAUGGCUUAAGGCCAUCUAAAACGAUAACAGCGGAAAGCUUGGAAGAUAAAGUGAGUCCAUCAACUCCAACGGCAUCACUGAGUGAAAGACCACGACCUAAGGCUCCUUACUCGUCGUCUGAAAAGUCUGCAACAUGAUACGUUGCAGCCCGAAAACGGGUCAGCACAUGGAAUAAUGCUAUCACUACAUGCAUAUAUGGCUGGUGGAGGCUGUAGGGUUAACAUGUUUUUUGUGAAAAGCCAAUUUUUCCCUACUGCAACGGAAUAAGUUUUUAUUUAACUACAAAGUUUGUUGAAAAAAAUAUUGAGAAGGUAAACCCCCUCUCAAUCCCAAUUAAAAGUAAUCAUUAACAACCCAAUCAAAUUAAUUAAGUAGUGAUGAGAUCAACAUGAUAAUCCAAGAACCAGAUAGUCAAGAUGUCCAUAACCGGGGACACGGCUAACCAUGAUUAGUUUAUACACUCUGCAGAGGUUUGCGCGCUUUUCCCCACAAGACUCGAUCUCCUCCGUUUGGUUUCUCGCACUACAAGAUGUUUGAGAAACGGAUGACCGAGACAUAGUCUUUCAGAAGCGUUAGCACCUUACGAUGGGUAGACCGUACCACCUACAUCCCCUACAUCUGCUAGUCUACCACUGUAAGAGUUCACACAACUUAAUCAACUAUGCUAGAGCCCAUAAUAGCUUGUGGCUGCACACGGAAGUUUCUAGUAUGAAUAAUCUCAUGAUCCCUUUGAGUCUGGGUGGCAGUCCAUAGGAGAAUCACAUGGUACCCCGGGAUUUCCAAAAAAAUACAGGCAAUCACUGGAUUCCCCAGGUGCCUCAAUCCACCCAGAUGUGUAUUUAAGUUGCCACCUUAAGUUGAACCAUUAAUUAACAAUCUCACAACUAUCAUGGAUACACUCAAACCCAAUCCACGUCUACGAGCAUACCAUAGCGUAGAAGUAACUCCUAAGGUUUGAUAAUAAACAGGUGAAUAGGUACUACCUCAUCUACUUCCCAAACCCACAAUUUAAUUCAGAUCCUAACCAUGCAAUUUUUUGAGGAUUGAUCUAAUGCAAUAAAACUGGGUAGUAAGAGGUAUGAUCAAAGUGUUACUUGCCUUGCUGAUGAUCCGCGAAACCUAGAGACUCGUAGUAGCACGCUUCGCACUCCGUGUACUCUAUCACAAACAAACAAGCAUACAAUAAGCAAUCAAGCAAGAGCACGGGUAAAACUCAAAUAAAAGAUCUAACAAGAAAGUUCAACUUAAGAACUCCGGUUUGCAAAAAGAAUCAAAUCAAACGAAACAACAAAACUCAAACGACGAAAGAAACAAGCUUCGUUUACUAAUUUGAACUAAAGUCAAAUUUUACAGUAGCAAAAUCUUGUUCAAGUUGGUUAAAUAGAAAGAGGGUUUCGAGACGAAACUCUAGGCUCUUGAAUCGCCUGAUUCCGGUAAACAAGCGAAAAGUUAUACUAGAACGAAAAUCGGAUCAGAAAUCGCGAUCGAAAAUAAUCGCUGAAAAUCCGGAAAAAAGAAAAACUGACGAACAGGCUAACGAACGAGCGUUCGCUGUCUGCGGUUAAACGGUGAAACCCGUUCGUUAAAACGAACAAACGAACGAGCGUUCGCUAUAUAACUAAACCGAAAAAAACCGAUCUAAAAAAAUAAUAAACCGCGGUUCUUAAAAAAACCAUACGGUUUUCCGAAGAAAACCGGCGGCGGCGGCGUGGCUACCUCCGGCGGCUCCGGCGUGGCGGCGCGGGCGGCGGGUCGGCGGCAGCGGCUAGGGUUAGGGUUUCGGGCGCGGGGCGGGCUGGCGGCGCUGGUGGGCUUCCGCGGCUCGGGGCGGGGCGGCUUAUAAAGGCCCACCCGGGCGGAGUACCGCUCAGGUACGGCCCGGAGUCGGUUUGACUUUUUUUAAGUAAUUCCGACAUGCAGAAAAAGAAAGAAAAGAAAUACUAAACGGACUCCAAAAUCCCGAAAUAAAUUUUCGCCGUCUUCUAAGAAUAAGCCGGACAAGGUGAACAUUUAUUUGAGCCUAAAAAGCAAUUUUGAAAAACGCAUAUUUUUCCUAAUUCAAAUAAAAUAGCGAUAAAACUCCGAAUAAAAAUCUUAUUUGAUUUUAAUAUUAAAUCUCUGAUAUUUCUUUAUUUUGAGGAAGUCAUUUUAUCCCCUCUCUUUUAUUUUUUAUAAAAGAAAUAUUUCAGAGAAAAAUAAUUAAAAUCAAACGGUCCUCUUUUUAAAAAUUCGAGAAAAACUCGAAUAUGAAAUAAAUUGAAAUCCCCAACUCUCUCCGUGGGUCCUUGAGUUGUGUGGAAUUUCUUGGAUCAAAUCAAAAUGCAAUAAAAUAUGAUAUGCAAUGAUGAUCUAAUAUAUAACAUUCCAAAUUGAAAAUUUGGGAUGUUACAAAGAAGCGCAAGCACAAGAAUGCUUCUGAUGACGCCCCAUCAAAGAAGAAGCUGAAGACAACGUCUUCAAAGAAAGAGCGUACUGCGGCCUCACCGCCCCUCAUUGUUGAACCCAUCUUUGUCGCUCUUCCAGCCACCAGCAACAAAGAUCGUCGCAUUGUGAUCCAUCAGCCUGCUUCCACAGUGGCUCACAAAGAUGAAGAAGUUCCAGCUGUUGACCCCAUCACAGCUGAAGACAUUGGUCGUGAAGACAAUGUUGAAGAUGAUGAAGUACUUCCUCAACUCGCGCACCAACUGGUAUCAUCGCCUGUUCUUACGAACAGCGAACUCAUCAGCAUUGGUCGUCCAUUGACACCAAUUGCUCAGGAUGAUUCAUGGGCGGAUCACCCUCAACAAGACACCCUCAUUCAUGGUGAAAAACCCAGAACUCCACCACGACAACUACAUGGUGCAGACCACCCCAUCACCAAAGGCGUCGCCCGCAUAUCGCAGGCUUCGCAAAGGCCCCAGGCCACAGGUCACCAUGUUGAGCAUUCCGGAAGGGGAAGUGCAACAAAGCUCAGUAGCACGUCAAGUGUUUCCUGAAGCCACCUCUACUGCGAAUGUCUCUGUGUCUGAAGCUAAUGCUGCUGAAGACAUUCCGGCUGCAUCAGCCGAUGAAAAUCAAGAAACAAGAGAAGAGGAAAGAGUUGCAACACCCCCUGAUGUUGAUCCAGUCAUUCUCGAGGAGAAUGUAACUAUGCCCGACCCUCCUGUUAUUGAAGAAAUGGAGGUUGAAAACACUGAGGCUGCCACAAACAAUGCUUCUGACGCCAAUGACGUCGUCAUGGCCGAAGACAUUGUGGAGCCUAAAGUUAAUGUGGUGCCUGAAGCCACUGUGAAUGUUGAAGCCACUGUUCCACCUCCAAGGCCCCCCACAAUUGAACAGGCCUACAAUCAUGGUCAGCUUGUCACAGUCAGAUGGCCCAUUAUGGUUCCUCCCACUGCUCCUCAACCACAAUAUGACUAUCAUGUGGAGCAGCGACCUCAAGUUCAGAAGCCAAAGCCAAGGCUACCCAGGCUUCCAGGUGCUGCUACAUCACCAGGAUCGUUCAGCGUGGCCAGCUUCAGGGCACACAACACAUUCUUCGACAACGCCAAGAAUCCAUAUACGAAGCAAAAGAUCUCUUCUGACCGCUUCUGGAGCUAUCAGCAGCGCAGCUAUUACUCCUGCAUUCUAUACAAUCAAGAGCGAAUCUUUCCACACAUGCGUCUUGAUUGUGAAGCUAUUGCUGGGCUGCCCUAUCUUGAAGAAGCGCUGGACUGCUUUCGGGAUGCUGGUCUGCUGCAAUUUGUAACUGAUAAAGAGCACUGGAAUGAAGAGCUUCUGUUGCAGUUCUAUUCCACACUUCACAUUCGUGGCUACAACAGGGAUCCGAAGACAUGGAUCCUUGAGUGGAUGACAGGAGAUGUGCACCAUGAAGCCAAAGCUCAAGACAUCAUUGAGCUGUCUUCCCUGCCCACUCUAGGUGAGCUCUAUGAGCCUGGUUGUCAGCUACACUGAAAUGAACUGCAGAGUAUAUUUCAGAAGCCUGAGCCGAAUAUGAGCCAGAUGCUCAGCAUGAUGAAGCCAUCGCCUCAAGAUGCUGAAUAUCCCAAGGAAUUCUUCGUCAAAGACCUUGAGUACUUUCCCCGCAUAGUUUAUCAUAUUCUGAGGCAUACUCUAUGGCCGAUCAAAGGAUAUUCUUCUGAAGCCAAACUCGAAGGAACCAUGAAGACAUUGGUGUUCUAUAUUGUCAAUGGCAUCAGAUUCAAUUCACAGGAUUUCUUCAUCAGACAGUUAGCUGCCUAUGGAGUUGAUCUGUUUGGCUUGAAGUUUUCCGUGGGUGAUGCGCCUGAUCAAACUACAUUCUUCUGUUGACUAUCAACCCUCAGUGUGCAACCAUCUCGUCUUUCUGCGUGAGGUUGAUCUGUCUGUUGAAGCCAUCUACCCCGAGCCUGCCAAGGAGCCUUUAUAUCUUCACAAUGUUGAUCAUCAAAGCUUCACGAAACCAAUAGAAGGAAUUCAUGUCCCUAAUGCUGCAACUACUGCUUAUCCUCUGGCUGGCAAUAUGCGUGUGCCCCAUCGUACCAACAUCGAAGCCACUGCUAGUACCAUUGCCCAAAGGCCUCGGAAGCGUUCUCGUGUACUCAAUGACCGAGAGCUGCUUGUGGCCUUACAUCAGAAGCAGGAUAAGCACCACGAUUGGCUAAAGCGUCAGAUGCAGAGUAUCUUGGUGGAUGUUAAUCGCAUUCGGAACCUGGCCACCAAGAACUCAUUUGUUGCCCAUGAAGCCUGUCGGCGGUCCUGGAAGAGCCUCACACUGUUGUGUCCUGAAGACGAUCUUCGCGAAGAUGGCUUCACCGAGGGCUUCAAGUUUGAUUCCAGACCUCCACAAAAUGCAAGCUGGCGCCGCACUCCCUCAAUUGAAGAUUCUGAGUAUUCAUCUUCGGCUGCUUGUUGUUGCGAGAGUCGUCGAUGAAGAAGACGACGCCACUUCACCGACCAUGGAUGCACUGCAUCUUGACACUGCACCAAGCACUUCUGCACCACCAAACUCCAACGCCGACCCUGCUCCAUCAUCUGCUCCUUCUGGGAACGAGUAGAUGCUCUAUGUCUUCAAACCUUUUUGGUCAUUACUGACAAAAGGGGGAGAAGCAUAUGAGUUGAUAGUCUUCAAGCGGGUCCUUAUGGGUGGUUGCUAUAUUUUGCCAAGUGUUUACAACUCUCGUCUUUUGAUACAUUUGAUUCUUUGGGUUGUAACACUUAAACUCGAUGGUCGUCUGCUACUUUUUCUGCUACUCUGUGAUGCGAUGAUAAAUUUCGCAUGAAGCCAUUCCGCAGACGUCCAUUUUUCAUUAUGCAUGUCAUUAUCUUCGUUAUAUCUUUAUAUGCAUGAUGAAUUGUCUUCAUAAGUUGAAGAGAAUCUCCACAAAGUAAAACCUGCCAUGUGCAUUUGCAUUCAAAAGAAAACUACUUAUAUGCACAUCUUCAGGGGGAGCCUUUUGCUACUUAUGAAGACAAUGCCUUAAUCCUUAAAAUUUCACAUACUUUUAUCCCCGUUGAAAACUUCAACCAGUUUGUCAUCAAUCACCAAAAAGGGGGAGAUUGUAAGUGCAUCUAGUGCCACCCGUAGUUGGUUUUGGAGUAUUGACGACAAACUUGGUUGAGGGACUAAUGUGUUUGUGAGAAUUGCAGGAUAACACAGGUAAUAGUCCCAUAUUGAUUCGGUUUACCUACCAGAGAUGACCCCUAAAAAUGUGUGAAGACAUUCAAGACAAUGGUGGUAUGUGAAGAUAUUCACAUUGAAGACUAUGACGUGAGACGACAUCGCAUGAAGACUAUGGAGUGCGAAGACAUAGUUGUUUCGUAGUUUCCUUUUCUUCUUUGUUGAGUCAUAUGAACCACCGUACUGUUAAGUGGGGUCCAAGUGAACAAAGUCAGAGUGACUGAUGUGAUGCUCAACCAAAUCCUAUGUCUUCGAGCGAAGACAAUGAGAGCAAAUCUUAUCCAGAGCUGGAUGAGUCAGCUUUACUUGUAGCCCAAGUCAAGCUGCCGUGUGUGUUUGAAAUUUGACCGUUGGACACGUGUUAGUUCCUUAGUGACCCAGGGUCAUUUUGGACAAAUCAGGUCGGGUUGCCUCCUGGCUAUAAAUAGCCCACCCCCUACACCAUAAAUUGGUAGCUGCUCAGAGUUAGUGCACGGCUUUUGUCGUUUGAGAGCAACCCACCUUCGAAGCAUUUGAGAGAGAGAUCCUUGCGAUGACAAAGCCCAAAACACCCAGAGCCAAAGAGUGUUAGGCAUCACUGAAGUCUUUCUGUCCGCGUGAUCUGAAGACUUAUUACACUUGAGGACUGUGAAUCCUCCAGCCGGUUAGGCGUCGCGUUCUGAGCAUCCAAGAGUCAUUGUGGAUUGCCGGUGAACGAAGUCUGUGAAGGUUUGAAAGUCUACCUUGAAGACUUACCAGAGUGAUUGAGCGAGGACUAAGUGUCCUUAGCUCAAGGGGAAUAAGGUGAAGACGCGGUCUUCUGAGUUCAAUCUCAGCCUCCCUAACCAGACGUACAGUUGUCACAUCAACUGGAACUGGUCCAACAACUCCUUGUCCUCUCCAAGCAACUGGUUCUAUCUCAUACCUCUCUUUACUUAUAGUUUGUCUUCGUGAAGUCAUUGCCUGCUUGCAUGAUCCGAUUGACUUCACUCUGUGUAGAGUGUUGUUGUUUGGCUUCAUUCUAUUUUUCAUUCUGAUCCAUACUACCUAGCUGCUAAUAGUCUUCGUGCUUUCACUUCAUUGCUUACUUGACUAUGGCUUGUCUAGUGUAGUCUACCUUUCGCUGCAUAUCAAUAGGUUCAUUUCUACUGUUUGUCUUCAAAGUCGUCGUCUUUUCAAGACUUUCAUAAAAAUCGCCUAUUCACCCCCCUCUAGUCGAUAACUAGCUCUUUUAGGAAAUAUAAAUAACAACUUUAUUAUUGCCUCUAGGGCAUUUCCUUCAUUGUCGUAGUGCUUAGGCGAAGCCCUGCGCGGAUCGCUUCACCAUCACCGUCACCACGCCGCCGUGCUGACGAAACUCUCCCUCGACACUUUGCUGGAUCAAGAGUUCGAGCGACGUCAUCGAGCUGAACGUGUGCAGAACUCAGAGGUGUCGUAUGUUCGGUGCUUGAUCGGUUGGAUCGUGAAGACGUUCGACUACAUCAACUGUGUUAAGCUAACGCUUCCGCUUUCGGUCUACGAGAGUACGCAGACACACUCUCGCCUCUCGUUGCUAUGCAUCUCCUAAAUAGAUUUUGCGUGAUCGUAGGAAUUUUUUUGAAAUUGCAUGCUACGUUCCCCAACACCUCCUACCUCGGCGAAGCUCUGAUUUGAGGAUCUCUGAGACACAAACUUCGGAGCUCCUAUUCCGCGCGCAGAGCUCUGGGAAAAGGGCGCAGAGCGCAACCCCUCGCUCCCACACGUGACUUGGGCUGGCCCAAUUGUGGGGCGAGGCUCCCCUAUUUUUUUGUUUGUUUUUGUUUUCUUUUCUAUUUAAUUUUUGGAUUCUUUUAAAAAGUUUGGAUUUAAAAGAAAGAAUUUAAUAAAAUCUUCACUAAUGUAAGAGGAAGUUCACACAUUUGUAAAAUGGUAAGAAAUUCAAAAAGAUGAACUUUUUCUGAUUUUCAUGACUAUUUUUAAUUUUUAUGUACAUUUUUUGUAUUUUGAUCAACAUUCUUUGUAUUUGAUGAACACAAUUUAAAAUCAAUGAACAUUAUUUUUAAUUUGAUAAAUAAAUUAUGAAUCCAAAAACAUUUUUUAUUCUUUAUUUUUUAGGAUUUAAAGAAAACAUUAUAAUUUCAAAAGUGUUCACUGAUGCAUAAGAAUCUUCAUGGAUUUCAAAAAUUUCAAGAAUUCAUAAAUAUGUUCACAAUUCUAAAAAUUAUUAUUUUUUGAAUUUGACGAAGAAAUUUUGCAUCUCAUGAAAAAAAAUCAAUGAAAUAUUCUUUAAUUUGAUGAUGUUUUUGAAAUCGAUGAACAUCUUUGAACAAUUCAUGAGCAUUUUUUGAAUUUGAUGAACGUUUUUGUUUCGGUGAAUAAAUUUUGAAUUUGAAAAUAAUCACCAAUUGGAAAAAAUGUCCACUGGUUUGAUUUUUUUCCCAGAUUUGAGAAAAUGUUCGUGUAUNNNNNNNNNNNNNNNNNNNNNNNNNNNNNNNNNNNNNNNNNNNNNNNNNNNNNNNNNNNNNNNNNNNNNNNNNNNNNNNNNNNNNNNNNNNNNNNNNNNNNNNNNNNNNNNNNNNNNNNNNNNNNNNNNNNNNNNNNNNNNNNNNNNNNNNNNNNNNNNNNNNNNNNNNNNNNNNNNNNNNNNNNNNNNNNNNNNNNNNNNNNNNNNNNNNNNNNNNNNNNNNNNNNNNNNNNNNNNNNNNNNNNNNNNNNNNNNNNNNNNNNNNNNNNNNNNNNNNNNNNNNNNNNNNNNNNNNNNNNNNNNNNNNNNNNNGGUUGGUAAGCGGUGACCCGCGCGCCAAAUAGGAUCUGCCCACAAACCUGGCCACUUGGCCGUGCCUGGCAGGCCAGUUCGUUAGCACGCGUGCCCGGUCCAUGGCUAAUCGGGCCGUGCCUGGGACGCGAGGUUGAGCACGUGUGUCGCCAUGGCACGACCCUUUUUUACAACCUAAGAGGCUGAAUAUAGGCCCAAAACAACCAAAUAGGCUGAAUAAUGCGCACGCUGGCGGGCUAAACAUGCCGGUGAGCCGGCCUAUUUACUUGUAGUGCCGUGCCUGGGCCUGGAGGCUGGGCACGCAGGCCGACACGACACGGCCCGUGUACUAAACGUGCCCUCACGGGCCAUGCCAUUCCAACACACGUUUAGCCCUAGGCCGGGGCGGGCCUGCCCGGCCAGGUCUGUUGAGACCAUAGUUUUAAAAACGAGACCGGAGCACCGAUUCGACCAGGAAAACCAGGAACGGCAUCUUGCCUUAUUGGUCUUUUAGUAAAAAAAAAGUGGGAGGGGGAUAUUCAAAAAAAUGGUGCAUAAACUAAGGAUGAACACCUAACCUUGAGGUAAGACACCAAUAACCAACUAUGCCAAUAACACCUUAUGAUUUAAUGAUUUAUUAAUGUUUUACAUCCAAUAUUAUGUGUAUUUUUCACCCGCCAAAAAAAUAUUAUGUGUAUUUCUUUGAUGUGAGGUCAAUGUUUUAAAACAUAACUUUGAAUAUUCUGAUUUUUUGUCGGUAAAUACCUUAACCGACAGGCUCAGCGGUUUGAUUUUUUAAACUAUGGACCGAGACAUCAGCCUCCACGAAGUACCUUAACAACUCGAGGUUCCAUGAUGUAGAAAUUCAGACACCAAUCGGAUGCGGAACCUAUGAAACCAUGAAAUCCUUGCGCUCUGCCCUCGUUAUUAUUUCUGUAGUAUACACGUUCUCCGGGACCAGAGCGGGGCUAAGCUUAAAACUUACGAAGAAAAUCAACGCUUUAUACGCUAUACACGCUAAGCUUAAAACCGCACAAUUAUCCGCAAAAAGAACAAAAAAAAAAAGUUUAAAACUGCACAAACACGGCACGAUGAUUUACAGCAGGGAACAACGAAUCAAACACCUCGCGACGAGCCGCACAACACUUCGCCGCUCGCUCGAUCACGACGGCCGGCUUAGCCUGCUGUCUCACCCACGGCGGCGGGGUUCCCGCCUAGUUGAUCCCGAGGAACUCGCUCAUGGAGAGCAGGUCGCAGAACCCUGCUCCUCCGCCCUGCAUGUCCGCCUCGAACUCCCAGCAGAUGCCGCCGUCGCCGAGCCCGUGCAACGAGUCCACGGCGCCGCAACGACCGUCCACCGUGCUGCUCGCGCCCUGCUGCGCCGGGCUGCAGUCGAAGGCGGCGUCCAGGGUUCUCGGAGCCAUCAGGCCGGUGCCGUAGUCCAUGUCCAUGUCGAGCCAGUCCGCGAACAUGACCUUGGGGAGCACCGGCGCGUGCGGCCGGAUCAAGGCGGCCGCCGCGUCGGGCCCGGUGAGGCUGCUCGAGUCGUCGGCCGUCGACGAGGACUCAGGCGGGCCCGACGAGCCGGAGUUGGACGGCUGGUUAACGGUGCUGCGUUCGCGGCCGCUGUCGCUGGGCAUCGGGCUCCGGGGCGCGUCGGAGCCGGCGGACUUGGCUGGUGCCCGCGCGCCCUCGACGCGCUUCUUCAGGUACGAGUUCCAGUAGUUCUUCACCUCGUUGUCCGUCCGGCCCGGCAGGUGCUGCGCUAUCUGAGACCACCUGCGUCAGAGAAAAAAUUCUCACCAUGUUAGAGAAGCAAACCAUGAGGUAAUUUGGACUCUGAAUUCUGGGUCAGCACAGCCAAGAACUAAUCAAACCCAGGUUAUUUUUUCUUGUGUUUUAAUCUCGUUGUAUUGUAUUUGUACAGUCGCUCCAAUAAAUAAACAAUGAUUGUCAGAGACUUGUAGCAUCAGCUACAAGUCUUCUCCCUUCAGAUUGUCAAUGUCAAAGCAUCUGUUACCCUAUCAUUGCCCAUUGGUCUCAACAGUUGACUGUACUAGAAGCGUGUUCACAAAUGAUUGUACACUCAUAAUAUCAAUCUUCAUUAUCAAAACUAAGCACGGUACAGUACUAACUAUGAUCAAGGACACAAGAAACGGAAAUGAUAAAACCAGCUUUGCUUGCACCGACAGGCAACUGCAAAAGACCCUUUAGCCACAAGGCUAGCGAUUCUCACUUGUUCUUUCGUCCUUUUUGUCCAAAAAGAGGUUAACCGUGACCAAGCCAACUUUCCAUCCAGUAGGUUAGCGAAAGCGAGGCGCUUGCUCACUGUCACCAAACCAGCACUCGAAAAGAGAUGCAGUCGAGUGCCUCGAUGUGGAACGCAGGCGUCGGCAUCAACCGCACCACGUAAAGCGGUCUCCAUGCCCAUGCCAAGACAUCAGCAUUUCCUUUUGUUUCCUCCAGCAAUACGUUUUCUUUCCCUUUUAUUUCACUUUCUUCCCCUGAAACUCAACUCGCCAGCAAAACGACACUGCCAUGCUGACACUAGCAAAUUGCGCAAGAAUACUCUACUUUUCUUCCUCUUAUUAAACUUCUGAGGAUGAUUAUAGAUGAAGUAGAAGGAAAAAAAAACAAAGAAGUACUCUCUGACUGAUUCAAUUCAAUCGCGCCUGCUAAUCAGCUGACGUUAUACUUGCUCUGAAGAAGGUGAGAAUUGUGAUGUGUGCUUGGGAUGCUUACUUGUUGCCGAGUGUGGCAUGGAGGCUCAUGACGGUCUCCUCUUCCUCCCGGGAGAACAUGCCGUGCUUCAGCCCCGGCCUCAGGUAGUUGAUCCAUCGCAGCCUGCAGCUCUUCCCGUUCCUCUGAAGCCCUGCAAUUCACCGGACAAUUUAGCCCCCACCCCACUUGCCAAGGUACAUUUGACAAAAUUCUGCUGGAUUCUUUUCUGAAAGCGCUACAAAAAUUUGCUGAAUUCUGAAUUCGACCAGGCAGACGAAGCUCAAGAGAAAUUAAUUCCCCAUCUUUCCCCUUCCCACGAGCCGAGGCACAUUUGCAGAGCCUCGGCAGGAAAUCAGGGGAAAUUCGGAAUUGGGCAUGAACCUCGCAGGCUCGCGGGAAUGCAUAGACAAGAAGAAAAAUCUGUCCGAUCCCCCUUCGAAAUUCUCCGGGGAAUCGCGCGCGAAAUGCCGGCCGCGCUUGGCUAGGAGGGAGUUCUUACCGGCCUUGACGGGGACGGUGCUCCAGCAGCUGUGGCCGUAGCGGACGAUGUAGUCGCGGAGCUUCUGGUCCUCCUCCGGCGACCACAGCCCCUUGCGGUGCUGCGCCUUGGGCUUCUGGCACGACUUGCACCCCAUCGAUUCUUGCGAAAUGCCGGCCGCCGCGGAGGUGCAGGACCAGCGAAGCUGUGUGCUCCAAGGAGGAGGUUAAGGCUUAAUAAAUCAGCUUUGAGAGGCGUGGGAGGGGCUGCGAUUGCUGUGCUGCGUGCACUGUUCUGUCGGUCUCUUCUGCGCUUGGCGUGAGGGCUCUCCGUGAGACUUUAUAGAUCCAAUGAUGAGUUGUUGGCCGCCUUAUCGUGGGGAUAAAGAAAGAUUAGUCACCGAUUGUUUUUAGUGAUCACAAACUCUUUGAGAUUUGAGACAGCAUAUCCAUUAAUUUCUGCAAUGCUCUUUUAUUUAGUAUAAAGCUUCUUUAUUUGUAGCAUAUAAUAAUCCAAAAGGCAUGGAAUUGUAGAAAGAAAAAUCCACCUUCAAGACACCCAAUUAUAAGUCCUGCAAAAUGUGUCCUUUAAUAAUUCUCCAUCCGCUGUUAGCUAUGGAAGGUAAGCCAUGGACAAUUUUAGUUGAUCUUUGUUUCAGGGACAGCUAGCUAGGUGACCCAUGUAAUUGCGUGGCUUGCACUUUAAUAAAUUGAAAAUUUAAUGUGUUCAUUUACUUGUUAGCACCAUCUUUUGGAACAAUCAAAGAGAAAUAAGAUUCCAAAGUAUAUUAAAAUCAUUUCCAAUACUCGAUUGUAGAGCUUCCCUACUGCUUCCAUAAUCUAUAGAAAGUGACUGAUGGCAACUUAAAAAGGAAAAAGUAUCAGAUGGAAACCAAGUUACAAUAAAAAGAAUUCUGCGAAAACCAAGUUUAAAAGCUUUUAAAUAUUCUUAAACAAAUGCAAUUUGUUAGAAAGGUGAUGUUCAAUAAACAUGUGGAAUCUAAACUUCAAACUCAUAUUCAUUUAGUAGCCCACUUUUAUAUUUAGUCGCAGUGAUAUUUCAUUUUCUUCAAAAUGAAUUGGGCUAGGAACAUAAUGAUCAUAAUGCAAAAGCUACCAUUGUCGGAGUAAAUGGCCACGGGUAGCAUAACCGACUACCCCUGAUUCUUCAAAAAUUAUCAGGCCGAUUGAGCCUUCAAGCGUUCGAAGCAUUGGGCCGACUUCCCCUGGCCGACUACCGCAGGGGCCGGCUCUCCCAAGGCGACCCGGCCCCGGUAACCUCCCCCAAGAUGGCUGCGAGGUGGCCGACUCCAGGAAGCCGGCGCCAAGAGGGCCGACUCCCAAGAGCCGGCCAUGAAGCACGCCGACUCCACAAAGCCGGCCAAGACCGCACCCACCAAAACUACACCCACAUAACGGUGACAAGACGGGGUGUGGCCACAGUGCGGCCCACUACCCCCGAAGCCCGAGGCAGGCAUGGCCACAGGACGCCGUACAGGUCGGCCAACUCCCGUCCGGCUCGGCACUGUAGCCAUGCUGGCCUCAACGUCAUCCACGACAGACGCCAGUACGGCCCACGGGCGGCGGGCCCCUUUAGCCAGAGAGAGGCGCGAAGGCGGCCCGGCCUCCCCCAGUCGACCAAGGGUGUAGCCGGCCCCCGGAAGCCGGCUACACCCUCCCUCGAAGCAUGUGCCACAUUAAGGAGACAAGACGAGGUAAGGCUACAGUAAGAGCCCUCGAGGCGGCACACUAUAGCCACGCUUACCUCGACGAAGCCCUCGUCAUCAGGGACGAGGCUAGAGUAAGCAGUCGCCAACAAGACCCUAGGCAAUGGGGCCGGCCUCUCGACCAAGAGGCCGGCAGCCGGCGGGACCCACCAGUCGGCGGGCCCCAACGGCCGGCGGAGAAGCCGGCGAGCACAGACACUGACGACUGGGACCCGCGCCCAGCCGGAUUACAAUUGUACCCCGGGGGGUAGGCCUAUAUAAACCCCCCGGGGCACCCAUGCAAAGGGUUGGCUUCUUAGAGUUACACACACACCAUAGAGAGAGGGAAGCAAGAGCUAGCCUUGCUCUUCUUCUCCCUUGAACCCAACAGCUCUAGGAGCAUUUGUAGCUACUCUUUCUGAUGUAGUGAUCAUGCGGAGACCCCGCAGAGCAGGAUUAGGGGUGUUAUCUCCACGGAGAGCCCCGAACCUGGGUAAGAUUCGCCGGCGUGCAUGUCUUCGCCUCAUCCCGUUUCCAGGCACCGGCGACGUCUUACUGGCACCCACCAUGAUAAGCCACCCGUUGGCAUAUGUCGCACCUACCACCCGACAUUUGGCGCCCACCGUAGGGCCAGGUGCACCGUCGUCCGGAGACCUGUUCUUGACGGGAACCCUCUUCCUCCCCCGCGAGCGCAGUCAGCCUGCUGCGCCCGAUGGCGUUUGCCUCGACGCGCUGCAAGGCGUCGACGACGCCUGCGCGGCGAGCUGCCUCGCCGAUCUGCUCGGCGAGACUCGCAUCUCCGACGAGCCCGCGUCCGACGCGGGCACGGACUACCCCGAGAGCCGCCUCGUCAGCCUCCUCGACCAGCUUCACGUCUCUAGCGAGCCUGCUGCAGAUGUGGAGUCGGUCGGCUCCACCGACCCGAUGCUCGUCGACUCCAACACGGCAUCGCUCGACGCCUACCCCUCCGACGUGGUGGUCUUCGACGAUCCUGUCCCUCGAGCUGAUAGUGGCAGCAGCGCUGUCACCGAAGUGUUGGUCAUCAGUCACGUCGCCAACUCGGGCGAGAACGCCCACGACGCCCUGCAAGCGGCGAUGCACGACCUAUCCGUCCCCAUCCCGGCCGACGCUGACGCCGAGACCCUGGAGGCACGCCGCCUCGCCCUCGUCGCGGAAGGCCAGAAGAUAACCUCCAUGAGACGCCUCACCGAGGCCCACCAGCGCGAAGUCGACCGCGCCGCCUUCGGUACGCCGCCGCCUAGCGGGCCGAGCCGAGCCGGCUUCGUCCAGAAGCGCAGCGCGGCUAUCGCCAGCAUGCUGGGGGCAGAUCGCCCCGUCUACGCCACCCCGCUCGAGAAUUUGCGAGCCGCUCAGGCGGCCGCUGAAGAGCUAAAUGGGCUGGGAGCCGACGAGCUCCCCUACAUGACAAGACGGAUCCAGCAGCUGAUCGACGCGGCUGCAGAACGGCAUGAAGCCGGCGCCCGCGCCGAUAGACAUCCCCCGCGCCGAGAGCACGCCACGAUGUCCCGAUCGCCGACUGCGAGCGGCGCCCGCCAGAGGAAAGACAAGGAGCCGGCUGCUAGCCGCAGCCGGACUCGUAUCACCAUCGAGCGCGACACGGAAGGCCGCCCACGAGCGGUGGAGCGCCAAGGAAAUCCGCCUCCUCCCCCGCCUCAAAGGGAGAGACGUCUCACCCCGCCACCCGUCACGCACCCGACUCUUGGUGACCGACUUGGCCGCCGAGAAGGAGUCGGCGAGAACGACGCCCGCCACCGGAUCGACCGCCUUGCUCGAUCCCUGGCGCUAGAAGAAGAAGACGAUGUCGGCCCGCCAUGCUUUGGCCCCCGCAUCCGCGACGAGCCCUUCCCCAAAGGGUUCUCGCUCCCCAGAGACACGCCCAAGUACAACGGCUCUGUGAAGCCGGAAGAUUGGCUCAUCGACUACUCGACUGCUGUCAGCAUAGCCAACGGCAAUCGGCACGUGGCCGUGAAGUACGUCCCCCUCAUGCUGCAAGGUACGGCACGCACCUGGCUCAACAGCCUCAAGCUCUACAGCAUCAACAGUUGGCUGGACUUCACGGAAGUCUUCGUCCGCAACUUCACCAGCACGUACAAGCGACCUCCCAAGCCUCGCCAGCUCUCCCUAUGCGUCCAAGGGCCCAACGAGUCGACCCGCGACUACCUCACGUGGUGGGCCGAGCUCCGCAAUUCCUGCGAGGGGGUGCACGAGGUCCAGGCCAUCGAGUACUUCACCGCCGGGUGCCGAGAGGGCACCCUCCUCAAGCACCGACUCCUCUGCGACGAGCCGGCUACCCUCGACGAACUGCUGAUCAUCGCGGACAAGUACGCCACGGCCGACUCCUCGAUGAAGACCGAGCUCCGAGUGGACGCCUCUGAGAAGGUGCUCGCUCCGGCUCCAAAGACGCCGGCUGGCGACUCCAAUCGGCGCCCCUACCAGAACGAUCACAAGCGCAAGGCCCCCAUGCCGACUUCCACCAGUCGGCAGGUGGCCACAGUUGAAGAUGAGCAGCCCGAAGAGCGGCCCGCUCCCAAGAAGAAGGGUGGCAGGCCGGCUUGGCAGCCGGCUUUCUCCUACGAGCAGACUCUCGACGCCCCCUGCAAGUUCCACAGCGGCGCGAAGCCGUCCAACCACACGACCCGAAAAUGCCACUAGCUCACGCGAAUCUCCAAGGGCGAAGGGCUGGUGCCGCCUCCGCCUCCCGGCCCGCCGCCUCCAGCCCCCCAACAGCCGGCGGCCCGGCCGGUAGUCGGAGCCAUCCAAGAUGAAUUCCCUGAAGAGCACGCCGCCUACGUCGUCUUCACAAGCCAAGCAGAAGACAAGCGCAGUCGGCGCCGUCAGCAUCAAGAGGUCAACGCGGUCGCCUCUAGCGCCCCCGAGUUCAUGCACUGGUCCGAGAAGCCCAUCAACUGGAGCCAGGCCGACCACCCAGAGGUGAUGCCAUCCCUUGGCUCCUAUGCACUGGUCUUGGAUGUCACCCUCGCGACGGAGAGGCGAGCUGCCCGAUUCUCCCGCGUCCUGAUAGAUGGCGGAAGCAGUAUCAAUAUACUGUACCGCGAUACCAUGGACAAGCUGAACAUUAAGGCGAAGCAGCUCAUGCCAAGCCGGACCGUGUUCCAUGGCAUCGUGCCUGGCUUGUCUUGCUCCCCCAUCGGCAAGAUCAAGAUGGAUGUUCUCUUCGGAGACAAGGAUCAUUUUCGCCGAGAAGCGAUCUGGUUUGAGGUAGUGGAUCUGGAGAGCCCCUACCAUGCUUUGCUUGGCCGACCUGCUCUGGCCAAGUUCAUGGCUGUGCCCCACUACGCCUACCUGAAGAUGAAGAUGCCGAGCUCGAAGGGGAUCAUCACCGUAGCCGGCGACUACAGGAAGUCCAUCGAGUGCGCCAUGGCCAGUAGCCGGCUGGCCGAGUCCCUGGUAGUAGCAGAAGAGAAGAAGAUGCUGGAGCGGGUUGUGGCCAUGGCCGGCAAGCAGCCGGCCCUGUCCCCCAACCCCAAAGAUUGUGAUGCACAGGGCUCCUUCCAGCCGGCCAAAGAGACGAAGAAGAUACCCCUGGACCCGGAGAACCCGGAAAGGUUUGCUGUCAUUGGGGCAAACCUGGACAGUAAAUAGGAAGGCGAGCUCAUCGACUUCCUCCGUGAGAAUCGAGAUGUCUUCGCAUGGUCCCCAAAGGACAUGCCGGGCGUCCCGAAGGAUUUCGCCGAGCACAAAUUGCACGUCCGAGCCGACGCGAAGCCGGUCAAGCAGCCCCUCCGCCGACUGUCAGAAGAGAAGCGAAGAAUCGUAGGAGAAGAGAUAGCCCGGCUCCUUGCCGCCGGCUUUAUUAUGGAAGUGUUUUUUCCAGAGUGGCUGGCCAACCCAGUCUUAGUUUUGAAGAAGAAUAACAAGUGACGUAUGUGUAUAGACUACAUCAGCCUGAACAAGGCCUGCCCCAAGGAUCCGUUUGCUCUGCCACGGAUUGACCAAGUGAUAGACUCCGCAGCCGGAUGCGAGCUGUUGAGUUUUUUGGAUGCCUACUCAGGGUACCAUCAGAUCAAGUUGGACCCAGCAGACCGCCUGAAGACUGCCUUCAUCACACCAUUUGGAGCUUUCUGUUACCUGACUAUGACAUUCGGCCUGAGGAAUGCCGGUGCCACUUUUCAGCGUUGCAUGCAGAAAUGCCUCCUCAAGCAACUCGGCAGAAAUGCCCACGUCUAUGUAGACGACAUUGUGGUGAAGACAGAGAAGCGCGGCACCCUGCUGGAAGAUCUCAAAGAAACAUUCGCCAACUUGCGCCGAUUCCAAAUCAAGCUCAACCCCGAGAAAUGCGUGUUCGGAGUACCAGCCGGCCAGCUGCUAGGCUUCCUGGUCUCCGAACGCGGCAUCAAGUGCAACCCUGUGAAGAUCAAGGCCAUUGAGAGGAUGGAGAUUCCCACCAAAUUGCGAGAUGUGCAGAAGUUCACCGGGUGCCUGGCCUCCCUAAACCGCUUUAUCAGCCGACUAGGAGAGAAGUCUCUCCCCCUGUACCGACUCAUGAAGAAGUCCACUCACUUCGAGUGGAAUGACCAAGCCGACCAAGCCUUCCAUGAGUUGAAGAAGAUGCUGACCACUCCGCCUGUCCUGGCAGCGCCGACUGAGAAGGAGUCCAUGCUCCUCUACAUUGCCGCGACUAGCCGAGUAGUCAGUACAGUUGUUGUGGUCCAGCGCCCAGAAGAAGGCCGAGCCCAGCUAGUCCAGAGGCCGUUGUAUUACCUAAGCGAAGUACUAUCCAGCUCAAAGCAAAACUACCCGCACUACCAGAAGAUGUGCUAUGGGUGUACUUCGCCGCCAAGAAGCUGAAGCCCUACUUCCAAGAGCAUCCCAUCACGGUCGUGUGCACCGCCCCGCUCGCCGAGAUCAUAGGCAGACGGGAUGCAUCCGGCCGGGUGGCUAAAUGGGCCAUUGCAUUGGCACCAUACACGAUCUUCUACCAACCCCGCACCGCCAUCAAGUCCCAAGCAUUGGCCGACUUCCUCAUCGACUGGGCCGAGACCCAGUACCUACCGCCGGCUCCCGACUCUACCCAUUGGCGGAUGCACUUCGACGGGUCCAAGAUGUGCACCGGCUUGGGAGCCGGCAUCGUCCUCACCUCUCCCAAAGGCGACAAGCUCAGAUACACGCUGCAAAUCCAGUUCGCCGCCUCCAACAACGUGGCCGAAUACGAGGCGCUCGUACAUGGGCUCCGGCUAGCCAAAGAGCUCGGCAUACGCCGGAUCCUGUGUUACGGCGACUCAGACUUGGUGGUCCAGCAGUCGUCUGGCGACUGGGACGCCAAGGACGCGAACAUGGCGAGCUAUCGAUUCCUCGUCCAGCAGAUCAGCGGCUACUUCGAAGGGUGUGAGUUCCUUCACGUGCCAAGGGCCGACAACGACCAAGCAGAUGCCCUGGCACGGAUCGGCUCCACCCGACAGGCUAUACCGACCGGCGUCUCCCUCCAGCGCCUCCUCAAGCCGUCCAUCAAGCCGUCUCCAGAGUCGGACUCUAUCUUCGUACCGCCUGUGCCAGAUGCAGCCAGAUCCGACUGGAGGAACCCCGCAGGCGGCACGGGGACUUCGACAACUGGCCCGCCGACUGCCGUAGUCGCACCCGGCCCGGGGACUUCAGAACCCGGCCCGGGGACUGCAGCAGUCGGCCCGGGGAUUGCAGCAACACAAGAAGCGGUGGCCGACUCCAAUUCCACGCCACCCGACCCACCCACCCGAGUCAUGGUGGCUACACUAACAGAAGAAGAAGUCACAGCUCCAUCAUGGGCCCAGCCCAUCCUCAAGUUCCUAGUCAACAGAGAGCUGCCGGCUGAUGAGAUUUCAGCAAGACUAGUGCAACGACGAGCCGGAGCAUAUGCAAUAAUCAACAGAGAGCUUGUUAAGCGCAGCGUCACUGGAGUCUUCCAGCGCUGUGUCGAGCCAGAAAAAGGAGUGGCAAUCCUCAAGGAUAUCCAUCAAGGCGAAUGCGGCCACCACGCAGCCUCAAGAUCACUCGUGGCCAAAGCUUUCCGCCACGGCUUCUUUUGGCCGACUGCUUUGGAAGAUGCCAAAGAAAUAGUCAAGAGCUGCAGAGGAUGCCAAAUUUUCAGUUCCAAACAACACCUGCCGGCUUCUGCACUCAAGACCAUUCCCCUCACCUGGCCCUUCGCCGUUUGGGGACUGGACAUGAUGGGCCCUUUCAAGACAGCCCGCGGCGGCUUGACACAUCUGCUCGUCGCCAUGGACAAGUUCACAAAGUGGAUCGAAGCGAAGCCAAUCAAGAAGCUGAACGGGCCGACUGCCGUAACAUUCAUCACCGACAUCACUACUCGGUACGGCGUACCGCACAGCAUCAUCACCGACAACGGCACAAACUUUGCCAAAGGAGCACUGGCACGUUUCUGCGCGACGCAGGGCAUCCGACUGGACUUAGCGUCUGUUGCCCACCCGCAGUCAAACGGCCAGGUCGAGCGAGCAAAUGGACUCAUCCUCUCCGGCAUCAAGCCCCGAUUGGUUGUACCACUGGAGCGAUCGGCCGGCUGCUGGCUUGAUGAGCUGCCGGCUGUCCUCUGGAGUCUGCGCACUAUCCCCAACAAGUCAACCGGCUUCACUCCGUUCUUCCUUGUAUAUGGUGCCGAGGCUGUCAUCCCAACCGACAUCGAGUUCGACUCGCCUCGGGUCACCAUGUACACGGAGGCGGAGGCCAAGGAAGCAAGAGAAGACGGUGUCGACCUACUAGAAGAAGGCCGGCUGUUAGCACUCAGCCGGCCCGCCAUCUACCAGCAAGGGUUGCGCCGCUACCACAACCGCAAGGUCAAGCCAAGAUCCUUCCAAGAGGGCGACCUUGUGCUUCGGCUGAUCCAGCGAACAGCCGGCCAGCACAAGCUCUCGGCCCCUUGGGAAGGCCCCUUCGUCAUCAGCAAGGCACUAGGCAACGACUCCUACUACUUGAUCGACGCGCAAAAACCAAGAGCACGCAAGAGAGAUGACACCGGCAAGGAGUCGGAGCGACCAUGGAACGCGAAUCUCCUGAGAAGAUUUUACAGUUGAAAGCAAUAUGUAUCAUGCUACCCUUUUGUAUUAAGUAUGAAACAACAGGCUCCCCGAGGAGCACUCGGGGACUGCCUUUAUUCAUCUAUGAGUGACGAGUGUCAUAUCCAUGAAUGUAUUAUUACAUUUGAUUUUUUGUCUGGCACCGGGUUCGACUAGUCGGCCUGGGGACUGGCCGCCUUAAGCUAUAUUAAAAGUUCUACCUGAAGUCAAACAAGUAGUGUGCCGGCUCCCGAGUCCUCUCUUGUUGAAAGUCGCAGCUCGAAGAACCGACUGUCCGACUAGCAAGAGCCAAGGUAGAAAGGAUGCCCACACGAAAAACGGCUAAGGACUAAUGAACUUAUAUAGCGAGAAGACGGCCUCCAACCACGCCUGCCGGCUGUCAGAACAGCCGGCUGGCCGGCUUCCUAAACACUUAGAUAUAAUCCAACAAAGCUAGAGUACUUGCCCUCCCAAUUGGCCAAGCGCUUCUCCAGCCACAGAUUGCAGAGCAACUGUCUGACUGGGGAGGCGGAAACCAAGGGAGGGUGGCAAAGGAAACAGCAGAAGGAUGAAAAGCAAAGAACGAGGAAAAGCCAAACUCAUGCAUAGUCAUAUACACAUAUAAAGCCCCCAACAGGCCGGCAAUCGACAUAGUUCGAAUACACCCCCAGUGGGUGGAAUUGUGCAAACUUAACAGAAUAUUGUUCCAAAAGUGACAAGACAGGAAAACAAAAGAUAGCAGACUAGACUAAGGCCCGGUGCGGGAGCCAGACUGGUCGGUGGAGAUGGCGUCGCCGGCUGAAGGAGUGGCCGGCUGGCGGGUCUCGGCUUGGUCACCAUCGGUGGCAGGCGACGCACCCGCGCGUGACGUGGUGCUGGAGGCGCGGUCAGGCUGAGGCUGGCCGGCCGCUCCACCAUCCGGCCCGGCGUCUUCACCCUCCUCCUCCUCCUCUUCGCCCUCGUCGCUGGAGUCGAUCUCCUCCGCCGAGUCUUCACCGUCUGCUGGGUUCAGCCCGAACCACUCCUCCGGCUGGGCGACACCAUUGUCAUCUACCUCAGGGGCGAAGGCGCUGGUGUCGGUGUAGUCGGCGAUCGCCGAAGCCCGCCGGAUGAUAGCCGGCCGCGCCGGCUCCAGCUCCGUGUCGGCCUGCUGCCACCAGGUAGCCAGCUGGUCCAGACUCAGGCCGGGAUACCAGGCCUUGACGAACUCCAGAGCCCGCCUGGCGCCGGACCGAGCCGCCGAAGCCUUCCAGGCUUCAAAGCGGCCGACUGCCACCUCCAGCCAGUCGGCAGUCCGACUGGGGGUGCGAGGAACCACUUCGCCGGGCCAGAGGGCGGCCAAUACUUGCGCCCCGGCACGCUGUAGCCGGCGGAGCAGUCGGUGAGCCGGCUGGAGACGGGCCUGGAUCGCCAAGAGCUGCUCCUCCAGCGAACGGCCACCGUUGGGUGCAAUCUCAGCGCCAGCCUGCCUUCGUGCUUGGCGGCGGGCCUCGAUGAUCUGGUUGGCGGCGGUAGAGUAGCCAGGGAAGUACUCUGCGCAAGAAAGAAAGAGAAAGAAGAGAAAACACCAAGUCAGAAAACGAGCCAAAAGCGGCAGACGGCAAGAAAGGACGAAGAAGUAGGCAGCUUACCGUCAACCAGAUCUUCGAUCUGGCCAUAGCCAUUGAUCAGAGUCUGCUUUGCUUCAGCCCAGCCAGCCGCUUCUGUCUCGUACUCGGCCUGGAGGGCGACUUCGCGGUCCUGCACCGCCUUCAGAGCCGCCUUGUGGCCCUCCUCCUGGUCGGCCAACCUCUUGGCCAGGCGGUCACGUUCCUGCGCCAAGGCGGCAAACUCGGCCUCCUUGGCACGAAGGGCAGUCUGAGACCCUCCCAGCUGUGCCCUCAAACUGGCGUUGGCCGCUGCAGGGACGGCAGAAAAAGUAGAAACAAUAAGAGGAAGUCGUCAAGGAAGAUCCGACUCGACUGCUCAGCAGUCGGCCCGAAUCUCGGGGACUACACCCAGUGGGUACGCUGACGCGCCCCCACGUGAGAUAAAGAACAAAGCACUUACCCCGGCUCUCAGUUAGGUCGGCGGUCUUCUGGGUCAGCUCCCGAACCUGGGAGUUGAAGGCAGCCGCGCGAAGAUUGUGGUAGUCCUGCAAGACAGGCAGAAGAUCGAAGUAAGAACAAGAAUAGCCAAGCUAAAUCCACUAAGAAGUUCCAAGCCGCCUGCUCAGCAGCCGACUCGGAACUCGGGGACUACACCCAGUGGGUGCGCUGACGCGCCCCCACGGAAGAAACCAAGAUCAAGAAGAAGCAAGAUAAGAAGACUAACCCGGAUGGCCGCCCGCGUCGCAAGGAAUUCGUCGGUGUAUCGCCUCAGCGUCGUAGCCUGGGCCUGGAGCCGAGUCCGGACGUCCUGCGCAGCCACGUUCAUCACGGCCGUCCCUCCGCCCGGCGUCCACCACGAGGUGGCGCUGGCCACCUCCACAUCCUGGGCCGACGAGCUGGAGCCCGCGGCCGGCUGCAGCUCCGAUGCAGCCUUCUGUGGCUCUGACGCAGCCUUCCCCGCGCGCCGGCUCGGCGGCGUCCGGACCGCCAGCUCAGUCCUCGCGGCCGGCUCGCCCCCCGCCGACUGCGCAGGCGGCAGAUCAGGCGGCCGCCUUGAGCCGCCCCAGUCGGCGGGGUCGGUACCGGCGCCCUCUCCAGGAUGACGACGUCGUCAUCCCUCUCCAGCCCUGGCUGGUCACCGCCGGCUUCUUCUGGCGCAGGCUCCGGGGCCCCAGGCGCUGCAACGCGCAGUGGGGUGAUCAACAAGGCCCCCUCCGCCAUCGCCGCAGCUGCAGCCUCUGCUUGGGCCUUGGCCGCGGCGUCAGCGCGCGCCUUCGCUACCUCCUCCUCCUGCGCCGCCUUGGCGGCGGCCGCCUUCGCCGCCUCCGCCUCCUGCGCCUCCCGCUCCACCCACACCUCCCGCGCGUUCCGCUCCGUCGCCGCCAAAAGAUCGGCACGGGGGUCCACGCGGCGAGUGGUGCUCCCAGAUCCUCCCGGCGACCCAACGAUGGAGGUGGCAGCCGUCCGCUCGACCGACAAUGGAGCUCUGGUUGUUUGGAGAAAAAGACAAGGAUUCAGGAGCCACCAAAAAAAACAAAAAAGAGUACACGAAGGAGUAUGUACUUACGCCGACACCGUCUGCGGUUGCUUCACCGCCUUGCGGAAGCGGGCCGCCUUCACGGCCGCCUCCUCCCGCCUAGUCGCCGUUGCCCCGCCUCGGGGCUUCUUCGGCCGACUGCUGAACAAACCCUGCACGGCGCGACGCUUUUGCCCGCCGCCCCGAGCAGGCGGCACAGCGGAGGAACCCACACUGUGGCCAGACGCCGGCUGACGGCGUAGGACGACUUCAGCCUCAUCGUCGUCCGGCCAGUCGUCGAAGCUGACUCCAAGCCCGGAGCCGCCUGCUUCGCCGCCGGCUCGGCCACCGCCCGCCUCGGUGUUGUCGUCCAUAGCGGCCGUCCCAAGUCGGGGUCCUCCAGAUCGUGCUCCGUUCGGUCGGGAAAGAAUCGGCGCUCCGCGUCUGACCCGCCUGCAGGCCGAAGAAGAGGGCUCUGUCGAGACAAGCCGACCAGUCAGAGUCGGCCAAAAGGAACUCGGCGACAAAACUGAGAAAGGAGAAAGAGACAAGGAGAACAUACCGUGGACGGCGGAUUGGCUCGGCAAUAUGGCUCGGAGAGUUUGCAGUUUGCAAGGUAGUUCACCAUAUAGGCCACCUUGUCGUGCGGCAUGUCCUUGGUACACAUCCGGCUCGAAUCGAGCUGGCCGCUCAUCUGACAGAUCAGAUGAGGGCGGCUCUGGAGCGGGAGUACCCGGCGCGUGACGAAGGCGGCCAGCAGGUCAGGCCCCGACAAGCCCUCCGACUGGGUCAUCGCUCGUACUCGGGCGACGGCUGCGGUUCCAGCCGGCGUCAGCGUCACAGCCCGGUAGGACCACUGGGGCCGCCUGCCCGCCGGUGGGCUGGCUACGUAAGCCGGCAGAUUGACAUAGUCGCCCUGCGGGGCGACGUUCUUCACGUAGAAGUAUGACUUUUGCCAUAACUUCACCGACUGGAUCAGCGUGAUGACGGGGAAGGGGUUGUCGGCAGCCACCCUCCGCAUCGCGAUGAAGGCGCCACUCUGAGCCGGCACGCCUUGCAUGCACGUGCCCAGCUUGGACUGGAAGAACUCCCCCCAGAGCUCGAGGGUAGGGAGGACGCCGAGGUAGCCUUCGCACAAGGUGACGAAGGCGGACAGCAGCACCACCGUGUUCGGGGGGAGGUGGUGCGGCUGGAGUUGGUAGAACUCGAGCCAAGAGCGGAAGAAGGCGCUCACGGGCAGGCCGAUGCCGCGCAAGAAAUGCGAGCGGAAGACUACCCGCUCGCCCUCCUGUGGCUCCGGCGUAAUCUCCUUCGCCGGCGCGAGACGGACCUCCACCUUGUCCGCGUCGGGCAGCCGCCGCGUCUUGCGGAGGAAUUCGACGUGAUCCUCGUGGACGUUGGAGCCGUCCCAAUCCCCGCCGUACUGCAUCGUGGCGUGGGGCUGGCGAGAACGAGCGCGGCGGUGGAGGAGCGAGUGGUGGAACUGCGCGGCGGCGAGGCGCUGUUGCAAGAAAGGGCAGGAGGAAGAAGAUGGUGGAAAGAGGAGGAGCGUGCGAGAGCCUGCCGCUCUCCCCCUCCCCCUACUUAUAGCUUCGCAAGGUGAAGCCGGGGAGGCAGGGCGUGGGGUGAGACGUGGGAUUAACUGCACCCACUCCCCCCACGCCUCGCGAUUAUUACGCCCUAAAAGCGUGCCGAAACCGCCGCAGGGAGACGUGCGGGCGGCUUCGGGCCGCAGAGAACCCACGCCUGGGCCCGGGCGUGGAUGUGGCGGGCCCCCGCCCUGUGGAGACGUCCCGUCGCGCGCGUGGGCUGGCAGGCUUUUUUGGCACGUGGUUCGCAGGCGGCACGUGGCCGGCCCGCGGCCCGGUGCGCGCGCCGGCCAGCUCCCGCCCUCCGACUCCCAAUUUUUUUUCGCCAAGACGGCGCCCUCAACCAAAGUCGGCUCCCAGCUGCCGGCUUGUCAAGAUAGGAAGCUGAUCGAGCUUCUCGACUCCUACCCAACCUCGAAGCCCAACCAGCUUCGGGGACUACUGUCGGAGUAAAUGGCCAUGGGUAGCAUAACCGACUACCCCUGGUUCUUCAAAAAUUAUCAGGCCGAUUGAGCCUUCAAGCGUUCGAAGCAUUGGGCCGACUUCCCCUGGCCGACUACCGCAGGGGCCGGCUCUCCCAAGGCGACCCGGCCCCGGUAACCUCCCCCAAGAUGGCUGCGAGGUGGCCGACUCCAGGAAGCCGGCGCCAAGAGGGCCGACUCCCAAGAGCCGGCCAUGAAGCACGCCGACUCCACAAAGCCGGCCAAGACCGCACCCACCAAAACUACACCCACAUAACGGUGACAAGAUGGGGUGUGGCCAUAGUGCGGCCCACUACCCCCAAGCCCGAGGUAGGCAUGGCCACAGGACGCCGUACGGGUCGGGCAUCUCCCGUCCGGCUCGGCACUGUAGCCAUGCUGGCCUCAACGUCAUCCACGACAGACGCCAGUACGGCCCACGGGCGGCGGGCCCCUUUAGCCAGAGAGAGGCGCGAAGGCGGCCCGGCCUCCCCCAGUCGGCUAAGGGCGUAGCCGGCCCUCGGAAGCCGGCUACCCCCCUCCCUCGAAGCAUGUGCCACAUUAAGGAGACAAGACGAGGUAAGGCUACAGUGAGAGCCCUCGAGGCGGCACACUGUAGCCACGCUUACCUCGACGAAGCCCUCGUCAUCAGGGACGAGGCUACAGUAAGCAGCCGCCGACAAGACCCUAGGCAGUGGGGCCGGCCUAUCGACCAAGAGGCCGGCAGCCGGCGGGACCCACCAGUCGGCGGGUCCCAACGGCCGGCGGAGAAGCCGGCGAGCACAGACACUGACGACUGGGACCCGCGCCCAGCCGGAUUACAAUUGUACCCCCGGGGGGGUAGGCCUAUAUAAACGCCCCCGGGCACCCAUGCAAAGGGUUGGCUUCUUAGAGUUACACACACACCAUAGAGAGAGGGAAGCAAGAGCUAGCCUUGCUCUUCUUCUCCCUUGAAGCCAACAGCUCUAGGAGCAUUUGUAGCUACUCUUUUUGAUCUAGUGAUCAUGCGGAGACCCCGCAGAGCAGGACUAGGGGUGUUAUCUCCACGGAGAGCUGCGAACCUGGGUAAGAUUCGCCGGCGUGCAUGUCUUCGCCUCAUCCCGUUUCCAGGCACCGGCGACGUCUUACUGGCACCCACCAUGAUAAGCCACCCGUUGGCAUAUGUCGCACCUACCACCCGACAACCAUCCUAUGGAGACCAUUUAUAGAAAGGCUUGGCACCACUAAGGUCACUAGCUCUCCCUUCUUUCUUCCUGAUUUGCUAAAUAAAUUGGAUGAUCUAGAGGUUCCUUGUCCCACAGAGGAAAUUAAUGAUGUCACUUCUGACAAGGGUCCUGCACCUGAUGGGUUAAUGCUGCUUUUAUUAUGGGUUAAUGCUGCUUUUAAUAUGUCCUACCGGGAUAUUCUUGAAAAUGAUUUGUAUGAGCUUAUCGAGGACUUCUAUCAUGGAAUAAUUAACUUGCAGUACAACAAUACAACUUUUAUCACCUUGAUUCCAAAGAAAGACAACCCUCAAACCUCAAGUGACUUCAUGCCAAUGUCCUUAAUUAACUGCAUCAUCAAAACCUUAAAACAUGUACUUGCAAAAAGUUGCAUAAAGUAAUUUUCAAAUUGGUUCAUAUCAAUAAAUAUGUUUUUUUAAAGAAGAUCCAUCCAAGACUGUCUUACUUGGGCUUUUGAGUUCUUAUUUUCGUGCCAACCGUCUAAAAAAUAAAUUAUGGUCCCAAAGCCGAAUUUGAGAAAUGCUUUGAGGUGAUUGAGCCUGACGCAAUCAUGGUACUUCUUACUACUAGAGGUUUUGGAGCAAGAUGGUUGAAUUGGAUGGAAUUGAUUUUUUUCCUCCAGCACCUCCUCGGUUUUACUGAAUGGAAUCCCUGAAAACCAGCUUCACUAUAAAAGAGGAGUUAGAUAACAAGGCAUCUAUCUCCUUUGAUUUUUGUGCUUCCUAUUGAUUUGCUUCGGUGUGUCCUAAAUGAGGCUAUGAAUAAUGACUUGAUCAGAUCCCCAUUUCAUGUUUAUCAUCUUCUGACUUCUUUGUCAUAUAGUACGUAGAUGCCACAAUUCUUGUAAUGCUUGGUGUUGAAAGCCAACUUGUACAAGUAAUGAAUUUGUCGAGACACUUUGCUGCUCAAAUUGGUUUGGAAAUUAAUUAUACUAAAUAUGCGAUGGUUCCUCUCAAUGUCAAUCAUGACAAAGCUCAUACAUUGGUUAACAUCCAUGCCAGCCGGGAUAUUUUCCAUUCACAUGCUUUGAUCUCCCUCUCAAUACUAGCAGACCAAAGCUUGAAGACUUCAAUCCUAUUUGUCAAAAAAUUGAGAGAAGAUUGACUAACUGCUCUAUUUUAUUGUCAUAUGAUGGAAGACUUAUAAUUAAAUCAAUAUCCUCCUCUUUGCCAAUUCGUCAUGUGUACCUUGCUUUGCCUAUCAGCAUCACCGAGCAAAUUAACAAAUAUCUUAGGCACUUCUUCUGUAGGUAUUUAGGCAAGGAAAUAAAUGAUCUGCUUUAAUUUCUUAGGAUAAGUUUGUAGGCCAAAAUCCCAAGGUGGAUUAUACAUUCAUAAUGUGGCUCUCCAUAAUAAAACUCUCUUGAUAUAAAACCUUCACAAAAUUUUCAAUAAGGAGGAUCUGCCAUGGGUGAAACUUACUUGAAAAGCAUAUUAUAACAAAUUAUCUUCCAACUGACAUACAUGAAUGGUCUUACUUGCGGAGAACUCAUCCCAAACUAUUGAGUGAAUUUUAAAAAAGUGGCAACUUGUUGUAUUGGAUCUGGAGAUUCAAUAAUGUGUUGGUAUGACCAAUGGCAGAAGCAACCUUUUUCAUAGAAAUAUGCCGAGGUACUCUCUUUUGCCACAAACAGUAAACUUUCCUUGGCUGACGUGGCCAAUUGUAUUGACUUGGUUGAGCACUUUCAUACACCAUUGUCUAUUCAGGCUUAUAGUUAGUUAAAUGAAACUAAGGAACCGUUUCAAUAGAUCACCCCCUCCACCCAUCUUAACAAAUGGACAUAUAAAUGGAAGGGUCAUGGCUAUUCUUCAAUGCAAAUGUGCAAAUGGAUGGUGGGCAAUGAGAAAUCCCACAUUGUUUUUCAAUGGACCAGGAAAUGUGGUGCUAGAUCAAGCACAAGACUUCCUUUUGUCUCAUUCUGCAUGAUGGAAUCAACACAAGAAGCUCUCAAAAGGAAAUCAAUGCACAUUAAUUGGUAUACAUUGUGUCUUUUGCCACGAAAACUCUAAAGAGACAACCUUACAUCUUUUCUGGGAUUGUAAAUUAGUUUAAUAUUUUUGGGACUCUAUUCUCCCCAACAAUCAGAAAGGUAUUUUCGUUGCUGGCUUUCAAAGAGAUCCCUCAGAAAAUUGCUUUGGAUGUCAUCACUCUGGGGUGCCGGAAUAUUUGGAUUAAAAGAAAUGGCAAGAUAUUCAAAAUGGAAGUGCCUACACUUAAUACCCGGAAAUGUCUUGUAAAGUAGGAUCUUCUCGGCCUUCGACAUAGAGUCAAAAGAAAGAAUUUUGAUUGCUUCAGAGAUGGAUUGACACUCAUAUUGGAUGAGGUUGUCUUAGUACAUAUGGAGCCUUACUAUCAUGAUGUUUCCCAAAACUGGCAUAGGAUAAUUAUCUCCUUUUGUUCUCUGUACCAACUUUUUAAUUAUUUUCGUACAUAGUCAUAUUAUGUUUCUAGGUUUCAAAAAAAAGGAGGCAAGAGAAAAAUAUGCUUGGACAAUGAUGUUGUAUUGCUUAUAAGUAUUCAUUAUUGAAUUUGUUUUUUUUCAUACCACCCAAAUGAAAAAAAGUAUUGAUUUUGAAUUUAACAUUUUACAUGUUUGUAGAACAUCCUCUUCCACAUAUCAUAUUUUUUCCAAACAAUUUAAAACAUAGUUUUCACCAGCCUUUCACCUAGUUUCCACUCUAAUGUGUAGAUAUGUUUUCAUCGAGGUGAUAGAACAUUUGCACAUGUAGAAAUGCAAAACCCUAGUAACUUUAUUCUUUUCUUAAACCCCAACAAUAGAUUGUGUCUUAAUGCUCAUUGCGUUGUGAAAAGGUACUCCGGCGACCAAAAUGAUUAUGCUCCGCUCUUAGGUUUGCGAUGCAAAUUAACUCUUUUGAGAUAUAGUGACUACGUUUACAUAGCUAAAGAGGAGUUUGUUUGCUUUCAUUAAGUUUUCCUUUCUCCUUUAAAUAUAUCAUGAUAUUAAUGGAUUUUUGAGAGAUAAACGUACUAUAAAAUAUAGAAACGGAAGCAGAUGCUCACAUACAUGUGCACACUCACCCCAUGUGAAUGAGAGAAUACCGUUGAAAAGUCUGAAAUAAAUACAUAAAAUACGAGUACCCAUGUCAAGUCUAGUACUUGAACCUGAUGGGCAAGUUCAACCACAAGAAACUUAGCCAGCUGAGCUAUACAUAGUUUUUUCAGACGGAGGUAUGCUCAGCCUGCUACCAUAAGAGUGUUAGGGCAUCUCCAAAGCAGACCCUCAUACGUCCACUAUAUGUCCGGACUGCAGUGUCUGGACCACUCUUGUCAUCCAAUGGAGACCCUUAUAUGAUGCUCGUUUAGCAGUCUGGACGUACGGAUUACGGUAUCCNNNNNNNNNNNNNNNNNNNNNNNNNNNNNNNNNNNNNNNNNNNNNNNNNNNNNNNNNNNNNNNNNNNNNNNNNNNNNNNNNNNNNNNNNNNNNNNNNNNNNNNNNNNNNNNNNNNNNNNNNNNNNNNNNNNNNNNNNNNNNNNNNNNNNNNNNNNNNNNNNNNNNNNNNNNNNNNNNNNNNNNNNNNNNNNNNNNNNNNNNNNNNNNNNNNNNNNNNNNNNNNNNNNNNNNNNNNNNNNNNNNNNNNNNNNNNNNNNNNNNNNNNNNNNNNNNNNNNNNNNNNNNNNNNNNNNNNNNNNNNNNNNNNNNNNNNNNNNNNNNNNCAACACAAAGCCUUUGUGUGGUCCUCCUCUCUUUUCUCUUUUCACAUACAUGAUCCCCCUCUUCUCUCUCUCUCUCUAACGAGAUACCACACCAUAAUAUCUCACCACAUGCAUGGUCUCCCUCCACCCUCUUUCCUCCCAGCCGGAUUAAUUUGUGAGUAGUGUUGGACGACUCUCUCUCGCAUCGUGUCCGCAGACCAUGUCUGGACAUAAAAAUGAACAUUUGCAGUCUCCAUUUGCGGGUCAGAGUUGAAGAUGCUCUUAUAUGUACGUUUUUUAAUUUUGUUUAUGAAAUAUUCUCUUGCAGAACCCAAAUUUAAAAUCUGAGCUCUUCUCCAUGUAAUACUCCACCGUCCACUUUCUCUCACUUUUAAUAUAUUACAUGAUGUGAACAGAGAUUUAGCCCAUUUAUGCGGUAUUGGUGUAUUAUGUCUUCGGGGAAGAAAGAGAAAACAUUACACUCUUGCCCGGCCAGACAAACAUUCACUUGGAAUGUUGCCGCCACAGCACAUAUUCAAGUGUCAUUGCCAAUUUGACAUCUUGUGCGUGUCCACACAUUCAGAAGACACGCGGACAUUUCUGUAGCAAAUACGGACGAAGUUUUGUGUGAAGUCUUAGGGAGGGGGUUGGCAGAUUUGACGUAGUUAUUUUGAUGCCAUUUCCAGAUUUGAAAUAAGAUUAUUAUUGAAUAAAUGUCGAUAGUCAGACCUGCAUUGUAUUCUCAAAACGGGACAAACUUAACUAUUUUUUUACUUAUAUGUUACCGUAUGCAAAUAAAAAAACAGACACGUAGCUACUCUAUGAACCUAUACGACAAUAGUAUAUGACAUUGUGUUGUGUUGUGAUUAUUAACAUUUCAGAUAUAAAUUUUAGAUGUGAACAGUGACCUCUACUAACAAACAACCAGAGGCCAACUUACCAGUUUGUACUUUGUAGCAGUACACACACACACACACACACACGAAAUUGUUUGGCAAUACAUUUGGCGGAAAGGGAAUUUUUUCUGACGGCACCUAGAUUAAGAAACGAUACGCACACAAGUCCUGUAUUUAGACGUACGCACAUACAAUAAUGUGGAAAAGAUGUCCAACCAAUUAGGUUAUUAUUAGUAUAUGCACCGCAUUGAUAUUGUUGAAAUUCUGGUAUCCGACCAUAAGACGCGGUACGUUAUUCCAUUUUAUUAUUGUUAUAUAGUGUGUUCUGGUAGCCAUAUCGAAUAGUACAUCUGUGAAAUUAGGUGGAGUCCCUGCCGUCCAGAACUGCUGUCAAUUCUUCUUGACGUCUCACGAGAGUCAAGACCACGCUGGCGCACACGGAGUUUGAGGUUCUAGUUAAGCAACGAUCGGCCAAGCAUGUCUGAAAAGGACUAUAAGAGAAGCUUACGUUGCAAUCUUAUUUCUUAAACACCAACAGCAAUACAUAAGAGACAAAAAGGGAUCGUCAUGACAGGUUUCAUUACAGCCUUGCACGAGGAGCAUGCAUGCCUGUUUGAUAUAGCCGGGCGGCCGGCGAACAUCACACGUAUCCUUGCGUGUUUCCACACGCUGCCCUGCGCCCCUGACCUGGCCACCGGACAAACCAUCCAUCUACACGGGUAUCAACGCUGCCCUGCUGGCUCGACCACCCCGUUUACUUUAAGCUUCCAGAUAUCUUUUCUUUUCCUCUUUUGCCAUGAUGCUAGUACAUUUUGUAUGCCGGACGCCGAUCCGGCGUGGUUCGUUUGAACAAUGCGCUGGUGCCGCAGAAAUAUGGCGUUUCCGUCCGCGACUGUCGAGGCCGCGUUGCCCAGCGCCGACGCGCCGGGGCGGGGUCAAUGGGAAUUGGCGGGCGGAUCGGUUUCCGCGGCCUCGGCUUCCGGGGCUGGCCUCCGGCGUGGGCAUUGUUAAUUCCUCGGGUUCUUUCAUUAGGGCAUCUCCAAGCACUGAUCCUUAAAUCUCCUGCAACUAUCUAAACCGCGAAAAUCAUCCAAAACGGUCCUGUAUCAAUCCAUGACGCGGUCCGGACGCGUUUUCUUUCGUAAACCAAAGACAAAUGUGAGGAAGUUACGAGAGCCCGGACUGAUCUCAAGCACUCUGAUCGUCCUGCCCCGUAAAAAACCCUUCCCUAAUCCGCGCUUUUUCGGUCAGCGCCGCUCCAAAGCGUUAGCGCCGGCAUUCAUGCCGGGCCAAAGGGGAUGGAAGUGCUUAUUGGCGCCAGCAUUGAAGCGGCGUGCUGGCGGAGAGAGCGCCGCCCACGCCGCUUCCCGGUGCAGGCGACUGCCGUGCCUUCAAACGAUACGACGGCCGCCCCCGUCCGUCUGCCGUCCGCAUUGAUGGCACACGGUUGCCGAUGCGUCUGCUCCGACGCCACUCGCCCGUCCCUCUGCCACCCACCGGUGCUAUAUAAACUGCCCUGGUGCCCCGUCCAUAGCCACAAUCAUCCCUCCCCUCACCACACCCUGCCAUGGAUCCCUCCGCCGCCAAAGCUCUCUGGGACGGGCUGACGUCGGAGUAGAAGAAGGCCAUGGCCGCUAUUGCUGCCGACUGUCAGGCCGGCAGGCAGCCGGAGGACGCCUCUGACGACGACGUGCAAAUGGAGGACGGCUCGUCCGAUGGGCCAUCGCUACCCUCCUCUUCCUCCGCGGCACCCCCCUCCUCUGCUCGACCCUCGCCGGUGCAUUGCACCAUGACCAUCGGUGAGGCCCGUGCCCAUUAUAUGGACAUGCCGCGGGAGAAGCGGGAGGACCAGUUCCGGGAGGCGCAAGCUGACACCAACUACAACCACAACCUCCUCCAGGUGCAUCCGUAGGCGGAGGAGUAGGUCACCACCGGCAGGACAGUCGCACCGAACGCGGACCUGGCGGAGCAGGAGGUGAUGCUUGAGUCCUACCGUUUCGCCAGUGAGAUCCGCUCGCCCGCUGGCAAUACCGGCAGCACGUGGUGUCCGCCGGCAAGGAGUGCGACGACGAUGCAGAUGAGGCGGUGUUCGGCAAGACCGACGAGGAGGAGGACAACGCCGAGGCCGCGCCCUGCCGCCACAAUGAAAAAGCCGACACGUCCGCGGGCACCACCGGCAGCGGGGAAUAGUAGUGCACGGUAGGUCGCCGCCGNNNNNNNNNNNNNNNNNNNNNNNNNNNNNNNNNNNNNNNNNNNNNNNNNNNNNNNNNNNNNNNNNNNNNNNNNNNNNNNNNNNNNNNNNNNNNNNNNNNNNNNNNNNNNNNNNNNNNNNNNNNNNNNNNNNNNNNNNNNNNNNNNNNNNNNNNNNNNNNNNNNNNNNNNNNNNNNNNNNNNNNNNNNNNNNNNNNNNNNNNNNNNNNNNNNNNNNNNNCGAUGCCAAGCUUGGUGGACUGAGCAUCUUUGGCCGAUUAAUUGCUUGACGGCGAUGUGGAGCGGGACAACUUCACUUCCCGGGCCUCCAGAGAAGGAGGUUACAGAGGCGGAGCUGCAGAUGAUGAAACUUCAGUUCUCUUGGUUCAUGGCCGGAUACGGGAAAGGGGCGCCGGCGACCAUUUAGACCUAGCCGGAUGAGCUCCGCUUAGAUGAUGUAAAUGUAAUGAAAUCUGUUAUGUUUAGAUGAAAUCCAUCUUGUUUAAAUUAAAUCCGUCAUGUUUAUAUGAAAUCAUGUCGUGUUUAUAACUUUAUAUGAAAUUCUGGUUUGGUCAAAUUUCGUCCGGUUAAUUUGAGUUGUUAUAAAAGGUAUGAAGCUAGCGUUGGAUGACGGUCUUCCGCAUCUAUGUCCGUCGACUGAUCCCAACUAUUCGGGAAUGGAUGCGAGAUGAGUUACCGUAGAAGAUGUCCUUAACUUGCAAGUUGCGACCCCUCCCAUUGUUACGGGCAGUGCGCCGUGAUGUGACCGUGCACCCGUGGCAAAUGAGACGAAUUGCUUCUGGGGAGAGACAAAGCGUCGUGGCAGCAGUAUAUGCAUGUAGCGAAGUGCAGUGGAGUAGUUACCUACCACUGUGCGUUGCUGGUAACAUCAGUUUGAUGCUUGCGACUCAAAUUGCAUGACUGCUUCAGCUUCAGCAAGCCACCUUGAUGGACCGUGCUACAUUGGCAAAGGCUGCGGCAGCUCGAAGCCCGAUUCUUGCACUAGGACACUGGACUAUUAGACCACAGCUAGCUUACAUAGCAGCUUCUUCAGCCUUUAACUCAUCAAGGAUCUAUCAUAUUCGCAGGAACUACAAUUUUCGAGCCCAUCAUCAGGCAAAACUUGCACUAAAGCUUACUAUAGAACAUUUAGCUUCAGGUGUUUAGCUUCAGGCAAUGGUACAUGCCUCAAUGCUCAUGUAAUGGCACAAUACGUUGUUGCUAGAUCAAUAAAAUAUUCUGCGUUAAAAAAAUAUCAUCAUUUGGGAAUAGGUCGUGCAUGCAUGCGUGGCGAGCGUUGACAGACGCAUCGUGAUCAUGCAUUCAUGAUGCAUGCAUGGAGAUGGAGCCCUGGCUGCGCUUGUUGGUUUCCCCUGACGUGACCUUUUGGCCUUUGCUCGCCCCUCUCGCGACCGUGAGCACGCCGUUUUGUUUGCAUGGACGACUGUGACGGAUUUAUUUCUACUUUGUAGUGAAGGUGACACACUACGUGCACAAUGGAAAGCGUACGAGCAUUUCUACUUGCUGGUGGAGUAUCAAAUAAGAGCAUCUAUCGUACGAGCAUUUCUACUUGCUGGUGGAGUAUCAAAUAAGAGCAUCUAUACAGCCGGACGUCUCAAACCCGUCUCAAACGUUUGGGUUGACGAGUCAGUCACCGAUUGAUCACAAAAAAUCGACCCACCCGAACGCCUCAAGCCAGCCUUAAACGUCUGGGCUGUCUAACGCCUCUCAUAUCUUGCCCAAAUAUAGGGCGGCUAUAGAACAACCUGGAUGUGUCCACCACGUCGGAGCUGACAGACCCGGCCCAUCACCGACCCCUUGGGUAUCCCAAAAAAAACCCAAUCUAGCUCCUCACUCGGAACCUAGCUCACUCACUAUCCUCUCUCGCUCCGUCCUCUUCUCUUCCCUCUUUGAUUCCGAUCCAACCCGGUGCAAUGUCGAGCUCUCGCAGCCACUCCGGCUCCGACGUCAACGUCGACGAGGAGCUGGCCCUUCGCAUUGCCUUGGAGCGGUCCAAGGUGGACACCAAGGGCAACUCCGGAUCUGCAGCUUCGUCGCAGCCCCUGCCAGGGUCGUGCAGUCCGCUCCGCCUCCGCGCCACCCCUUCCCCCACCGGCCGCUGCUCCGCGCGGGUAGCGGUGGGUGCUAGUGCCCGCGUUGUCGGCCUGCACACGCACUCCGGAAUCCGAGGCGCGCUCCGACCACCGUAAGAGGCAGCAGCCAAGGAAGAACACGACGGAGCAGUUCGUGCGCCGCCGCCGCGUGAUGCCGGUGGAGCCCGACGAGGACGAGCAGCUCCUCGCUUGGGUCUACCGCCAGUCGCUCAUGACGGCAGAGACGGACGCCCGCCUCCUACGACAGAAGAAUGCGAGGGCGCUCCGACUUGCCAUUGAGCAGUCGGAGCACGAGGCGAUGGAGGCAGUGGCGGAGGCGGCUCAGUUGGCCAAGCUAAAUCGGCCACAGGACAGGGCCGUCCGGCGGCUGAAGGGGCUCGUUGUCCUAUUUGACGACUCUGACGAAUACGACGAUGACCACAACUCCUCCUCCGAUGACUCCGAUGAUCCACCACCUGCUGCCGACGCGUACAGCCACGCCGGCGACCGGAAGGGCAAAGGCCCGGCGAGGAAGUGUUGAAUCUCCGCCGUCCACGUAGUUAAUUUCUAGUUAUCUACGUCUCUAGUUAGAACCUGUCCGUCGUAUGUGGAUUAUGUGAACUUUGAGUAGCUUUUGCAGAUCUGUAUGUGAUAUUUUGGUGAUCAAAAUGUGCAUAUCUAGCUCCGUUUCAUAGUCCAUGUGAUGAUCUAUGUAAUUUAUCUUCAUGUUGCAUGGGUAGUAUGGAUAUAGGCUAUCGAAUAUGAGGAGUGCGGAUGUGAAGGACACAAAUUGAGGAGUCCCUAGUCAGUGCCGACGGAUGACGUCUGCGGGCGUUUGAGGGGCCGAAUUUGCCAAGUCCGGCUAAUUAGCCUCUAACCCUACUUAAUUCAAUCAAAUGAACCAGAAUAUUAGAAUAAUAUUACUAUUCAAUUUCUUUAGUGAUGAAGUACUCAGAUCUAUUAAUGAAACCAUCAGUACAACCACCUUGGAAAAUAAAAUGUUACAUCAAAAUCCAAGGAGGACGAUCAUCUUCAUCCUCCUGAACAUGCUGACACUGCGCCAUCACAUGCCGCUUCAUAGCCGAAACCAACCCGCCUUUGUUGAUUGAGGAAGGGAAGUUAUCNNNNNNNNNNNNNNNNNNNNNNNNNNNNNNNNNNNNNNNNNNNNNNNNNNNNNNNNNNNNNNNNNNNNNNNNNNNNNNNNNNNNNNNNNNNNNNNNNNNNNNNNNNNNNNNNNNNNNNNNNNNNNNNNNNNNNNNNNNNNNNNNNNNNNNNNNNNNNNNNNNNNNNNNNNNNNNNNNNNNNNNNNNNNNNNNNNNNNNNNNNNNNNNNNNNNNNNNNNNNNNNNNNNNNNNNNNNNNNNNNNNNNNNNNNNNNNNNNNNNNNNNNNGGGGUGACCUACCGGCGGAGGAAAAGGUGCACCUAGAGAUUGCUUCUCCUAAGAACUGGAGAGGAACGGUUGGGUAUAUGCGCUAUAUUCUACCAUUUUAGAAUUUUGGUUCAUUUUACCGAGCCAAAUUUGAUUAGAGCGCAUCCCUAUGUAUUACAUAUAAGUACAAGAGAAUGCAGGUACUUAAAAAGUUACUUCAUGCGUUCUGGUUUAGGGCCUUUUUGAUCUGCAGGAUUUAUAAAACACAGGAAUAAAAAAAACAAGAAUGUUGUGACAUGUCAUCUUCAAUACUACAAGAUAAGUAUGGGCGUUUGAUUGUGCGCCAAAAAACUUACCAUCCUACAAAUGAGGCUGGAAUUGUUGGAAAUCUUCCUAUGAAAACUAGCACAAAUGAAUCUUAUGGAAAAAUUUCUAUGAAUUGUAAUCCUAUGAAUUGAACAAUCCACGUAGAAAAAAAUCCUAAGGAUUAAAAUCCUGCAAAAUUCGUUUAGAAAUCCUAUGUAUCAAAGAGGCUCUUAUUGGUCUCCUCGUAUUGUGGGUCAAAAUUUAAUUGGCAAAAUAUAGAUUGUAUGCCCCAAAAUUAUACUGUUACAUUCAUAUUUGAAAGAAUUUUGCAAUAGUACUAUAUUUUCGUCAUAUAACUUAUAGAAGGACCAAUAAAACCAGGCGGGGAAACUAUGAAGUAGUCGUCAUGUGCCUCCUCCUACAAACACAAGCCACAAGGAAGUACAUAGGCACAUCACGGGAACCUUUGCCCUAGGAGCGCACCUUUCGAUCGAGGGGAUUCUUUUUUUUUUUUCUUUGUGCUUCUUGUUAGUGUUUGAACUUGUUUCCUUUCUCUCUCUUUUUUUCCUCGCGAGUCAAAUCCUCAUUGGACUGAUUCUUUAAAUCUACUUGAUCGUGUAGAGUGUAACUUAUUAACGUAUUGUGAUUCGAUGACUUGUUUUUCCUUUGACCAUGUUCCCAAAAUCUACAUUCAAAAAUUCAAAUUUUCAUGUUACUCCUAGGAUUCCGGAACUAGAGAAUUUGUACCAAUUCCGCAUGACCAAAUUUUCAGAAGUGGUUGUUUUGAUUUAUUUUUUUAGAAAAGGAGGAAUACCCCCGGCCUCUGCAUCUGAUCGAUGCAUACGGCCAAUUUUAUUAAUUAUUAUCACAAAACCUUACAAAGUCGUACAACAGUAAGACCAAAGCCACCAUCUUCACAACCUCUGUCGCUACUCCUAUCUAACUGAUGAAGGGGCGCUGAUGGUCUGGGCCUAAUACCAAACAGACCUCGUAGCCAAACCUAACAUCUAAGACCUGAGGUCCCAACCUAGACGCCUGCCGGGUAUGGGCACCCACCAGUCUGGCGUGCUCCUCAACGAGGCCGCAUGCCGCGUAUGAGGCCGCCACAACCACCUACCACUAAUCCAUCUUCAGAGCUGUACUGCUGCAACGGCCUUGCCCGGUCUCACUGCCGCCGACGCCACCACGACGCCAGACAGCGUCGACCUCCUGCGCGUGUCCGUCACCACACAUCUGACGCCAAGCCUCCGCUGCUCCAUGCCGCCAAGAGCCGCCGCCAAGAAUAUGCAUAAAGAAACACCGCUCCACCGAAAGGGAGGCAGCACACCCCACCCCUCACCUACAGACCCUUCCAUCCGAUCCCAAUGUCCUUGGCGUCGCCUCCAGGAAGGUAACGGUGCACAGGGCGCCACCGACGCCCGAUCCGCAACGGAUCUUGGGCUUUCACCCGGACAUGGUUCGGAGAGGAGAGAUGGUGUCCUCAGCAGCGCCCCCAAGGAGGAAAACGGCGCCAAAAAUCGGCGUCGCCGCUGCCGGCCAGUCAAGGCGGCCAAGGUUUCCCCCGGACACCGAUCUGCUCCACCAGAACACACCGGAGGUGGAUCCGAAAGAUCCAAACCGAACCGGGGAUUGAGAAUGGAUGCAUGGAAGGGAGGGGGGCAAUACCUCCAGAUCUGGCGGCUCGCCGUCACGCCGCACGCCCCGCCGUCGCGAGGCCCCGCUGCCCUGCGGCGAGAGGCUGCCCCGCGAGCAGGCCGAGGCUCCCCACGAGGAACGCGCCCGACCAGCGCGAACGCCAGAUCCCACCUCCGCCGGCCGCGAGCGGUGUUUCCCGCCGACGAUCCACGACGAGCGCCAGAUCCCGCCGACGAGCGCCGCCAGCACCCAGCGGGGUUUCCCGCCGACGAUCCACGACGAGCGCCAGAUCCCGCCGACGAGCGCCGCCAGCACGCAGCCCGCCUCGUGCGGCCCUCCACGCCAGCCACCGUGGCAGCCCAGCGUCGCCGCGUCCCGCACCACGCCGCGUUCCGGCCAGGGAAGAUCGCCCCACGGCGAGCCCGCCUCGCGAGAAGGAGAGAACGCCCCGCCGCCGCCNNNNNNNNNNNNNNNNNNNNNNNNNNNNNNNNNNNNNNNNNNNNNNNNNNNNNNNNNNNNNNNNNNNNNNNNNNNNNNNNNNNNNNNNNNNNNNNNNNNNNNNNNNNNNNNNNNNNNNNNNNNNNNNNNNNNNNNNNNNNNNNNNNNNNNNNNNNNNNNNNNNNNNNNNNNNNNNNNNNNNNNNNNNNNNNNNNNNNNNNNNNNNNNNNNNNNNNNNNNNNNNNNNNNNNNNNNNNNNNNNNNNNNNNNNNNNNNNNNNNNNNNNNNNNNNNNNNNNNNNNNNNNNNNNNNNNNNNNNNNNNNNNNNNNNNNNNNNNNNNNNNNNNNNNNNNNNNNNNNNNNNNNNNNNNNNNNNNNNNNNNNNNNNNNNNNNNNNNNNNNNNNNNNNNNNNNNNNNNNNNNNNNNNNNNNNNNNNNNNNNNNNNNNNNNNNNNNNNNNNNNNNNNNNNCCUGCCGCCCGUGGGAGCGCCAGAGGAGUUAUCUUGUGUCUUGGUAAUACGGUGAUCAAGUGGUUGUUUUGAUAGGAUCUUGAUGUCUUCAUACCUAAUCCUCAUGCCAAAGCAAAAUGAUUUGCCUUUUCUCCUUUAAUAACUAACUUUCACCGUUUAUUAUAUUUGAUUUUCUUUCAUCUGGAGAUUACAAAGGGAGCCAGCAUACAUAAUUCUAAUCGCUUAUGGGGCAUACUCGAUUAGAUUACGACAUUUUUUUGCUUAUAAUACUAGUUAGGGGCCAUUCUAGCCAUGAUCCCACAAACGUAUAUCUUACAUGGAUAUCCUGUUGAUUUGAUAAUUCCGCAGCACAGAGUAGUGGUCAUGUCACAUGUGCACUGCCUCUAAUUUUCUUUGGGUCCUGUGGAUCAUGGGGCAUGCAUAAGCUGUUCAGUUUACUUCUUUAUCAUGAUUACUGUUCAAUGCUAAGGACGUUGGGCUAGUCCAUACUUCUAUGUCGAAGGUUGCACAUAUGUGUAGACCAGCACAAGAGCUAAAAUAUCACCGAAUAAUCAUAUCCACUGCCCUUGCAUUAUGUAAACGGAACAGCAAUCAGAUGUGGUCGCUGCCAGUUCACUGCAAGUAGAAUUGUCGAAUCUGAAAUCAUAAAUGCACCCAUUUAUUUCCUGAUGAUAAGCAACGUAUAUCACUUUUCCCGCCACUGUACCCCCUAAACUUCUCCAGAAAAUAUUUUAGACCACCGAACACUAAUUAUCAAAUCAGAUAUAUCAUCCACCGGGGGUAAUUGGAAGUUGCACCAGAUAGUAGGUGCCCCAGGUGAAAUGCAUCUGUUUUCCAAUGUCAAAUAUUUUUCGUAAAAUUAAUACAUGAAAGGGAGAUCUUGAAUUGUCAGGGAAGAAAGAUAAGUUUUGCGCACUAUGCUAAAAAAAGGGUUUAGUAGCUACGAACAUACGUUGUAGAGCGAAUAAUUUAUUUUCUCCAAGGAUGCAUAUUUUUUUUCACUUCUUUUUACGAGCUCACAUAACCCACAAACUUGUUCUCCUCUCAAAUAAAAAAAACCCACAAACUUGUACACAAAAUUUAAUACUUACUACUUUUGUAAUUUGUGAUUUCGAUGUUCACCCGGGCAGUACUAGAGCCAGUUCGCUGCUCCUCCUUUCUUUCUUUUUUUUCAAAACGAGGGUUUCUAGGAAGCGAGGAGGAGCUGCCUUGGAGAAACAGCCAAAGCAGUGGCGGCCGAUAGUUCAUUCCACGGGCGCAAAUGAUGAAGCCAUGCAUUGUUAAUCUCGCGGUUGGUACAAUGAACUGUAGAAAAAUAGUACUUCAAGCAAAUGGGACACGAAGCUUCGUUAUCAUUUUGCUUGGAACUGGCAACUUGCAUAUUUAAAACGGAGGCCGUGGACUUCUAUCAUCAACUGAUACUGACAGUACAUAUAUAAAUAGCUUUAGGACCACUGAAUCGGCCGCGUUAUAUAAAACACACACUUUUUUAUUUCUCCUUCAGAGUGAGACUUGUCGUGAAAGUGAUAACAAAGUUACACUUGUCCAAAUUCUAUCAUAUCUCUGCACAAUCUGGACAAAGAGUUUGGUAGGAAAAUUUGUGAAGCGAUGAUACUGCCGGUAGCUCCUUUCUAGGGCAAGCUCAUUCGACGAUUGCAUCGUGUCUCUACUCCGCAACCGACGAGAUUAAUCCAAUCGAUUUAGUGAAUGGUGAUGUUGCUGUUGAUGUCGUAUAGCUCAGUCGAAACAUAGGUCAGGAAGUCAUUUCUUGUUUAAGACUUGUGCAACUCAUCAACCAUAAACACGGUAUCUUACUGCUUGAACAUUCUGUCUUAUACUCUACCCGAUUUCAAAUAUAAAAGGUCCUAGCCUUUUAGGGCAGUUAAUACGGCUGUCCGAUAUGUUUGUUGAUGACUAACAUUGUCAUGACUACCAUUAGGCGCCAAGCGAAGUAGGUUGUGUGCGUCUUCUUACAACUGAGAACCAAGAUUUUCAAGGAGAAAAAAAUAUAAUGUUUUCGUCACACAACUUAUAGCCUAUUACAAGGCUUGGUAUAAGAUGGGUAAUCGUCUCACAAAUCUGCUACUGCUUUUCCGGCCUAGCUUGGAGUAUUGGCGGAUGCAACUAUCUAAUGACACAUCCUCAAGAUGUUGAAUGGGACAUCACUUCAUUUUGGGGGUAAAAACUACUGUCUGGUCCUUUAUUAGUCAGGCUUAGCAGCGACAAAAUUGCAUCAUUGCCUUGUUGAAGGCGUUGUCUACAUGUUGUAACGGUCUUUAUUGAUUGAUAUCAGCAACCAUGAUGAAAAUCUUUGUAGGGGUCGUUCUCGACCAGACGUGAUGACGAUGGUACGAGGACGUUCCCUUCUUGGAGGCGUUGCUGCGGAAGAAGUUGAGUUAGUCAUAUGUCUUUAUUUCGUAUGUUGUAAUGGCUCGGCUGUGGUGGUCAUUGUUGUGUACUCUGAUUAAUUAUUAAAAAAAUGGUUAUGUGCAUCUGCAACUUUUCAAAUGGUUAUGUGCAUUACGAUGAUGCAGAAGCCGGGGGUUUAACCUCUUUUUUGAAAGAAAAAAAACUAUAAACCUGAGAGGUUGCAUCUGCAACUUUUCGAAUCAAACAUUUUUUUGCAUGAGUUUCAAAUCGAACAAUUGAGCCCUCUUCGGUACUAAAUUUGUCUUCCUUGAUGAAGCUGCGUGAUGUGUCAUAGCUAUCUUUUUGCCCGUACUUUAUAUGUCUCUUACAAAGGUUGGGUCCCCCUGGUAACUCAUUUUCAACCUGAGCCCACGCGUGAACACGGCAAGGCCUCCUCUGUUUGAAUAAUAGGAAUGUCAUAAGAUUAUGAAAUCAUAGAAAGUGAGAUCAGAUGUACUCAGUUCCUAUAAGAAAAGAGAUUUUAUUUUGUUAGGAUAGGAAUUUUUUUCUUUGAGUCUAGGUUAAUAUUUUCCCUUUUGAAAUAUGAAGGAUCCAUUUCUAUCCUAUAUAGUAAUAGGAAUCCAUUUACGAAAGACACCAAAGAAAUUUUUUCUACAAAAUUUAUAUCCUUUAGAGUUCCUACAAAAUUUCUAUAAACCAAAGGAGGCCCAGCUCUUUCAAUAGCAGCAACAACAAUAGCGUCGUCCGCUCCCCUUCCAUUUCCGCUGCCAAUGUUCCACUUCCAUAAACUUUCGCAAUGGCAACCGCUACCUCGUCAAGUGGACCUGCAUAAUGUUUGAUUAACGCUUGCUGCCGGCGCAACCUAGCAAGUCACUCGCGCUCAUGCGUGGUGCUAAGCAUCCGUUACCAUCGUUCCAAUGAUGCGUGUUGGCGCACUAUCGACCAAGUCUUGCUGCUCACCAUGUCGUUUCAGUGGUGCCAUUCACCGAGGAAAAAUCGUGACGACCUUUGCAACGUAUACCUAAAGCAACAUGUUAUGUUCCAUGCGCUCCGGGAUGCCCGAUUGAACUCGCGAGUGCUCUUUGCCACGCGCGCUCACGGCUACAACCCUCACCGCCAUAUCUUGCUCGCCGCCUAGCUCCGGUUCUAAAAGCGGAGUUCGAUCCAAUGUCACGGCGACACGAUCCUUGCGUCCGGAUGCACCAACUCCUCAAGUAUUCCACUCUUUGUUCUUAGCCAUGGAGUCCGUCGACAUCGAACCCAUAUGUUUGCAUCAUAGUAAGCAUGGUGUGCAAGCGUUCCUGCAUCAUCGCCCUAGCAAAGCCUCACAACAUGGAGACUUGACAUCAUACUCGGUAGUGGCGCUAUCGAUACAAGCCCUAACAGAUUGUGUGGUACAACAAUUGUCACAAUGAACCAAACGUAAUUUACCUGCAAAAAUAAUAACUAAACAUAUGCCUAAGAAACCAUGCCAACCUUAAACUACAAUCUGAACAUGUCUUAGAUAUUCAUAGUCGCUGUACUAACUACAGAUGAACAACGUAGCUAUGAAUACUGAUAUACAAGUAUGCUCAGUUAGAUGGGGAUCUCUGUCAGCUUUUGGGCUAUUCUGAACAGAGUUGAUGCCCUGCAAGAUUCUCCUUGUGCCUCUCAACUCGUGGAAAUAAACAUUGAUACCCAUACGGUCCAAUGAAGAGCUACCUAUCAAUCAAUUGCACCUAUAAUAGUUUCCAAGACGAGUGACUGCACCUCUUGAAGUCCAGAACAUUACAAGAAUAUACAAGAUGAACCAACUACAGCCGCGGUGUACCGGUUUAAAACUCGUAUAUCCACUGUACACGCGAUUUGGAAAUCUGGCAUGCCGCGUAUGAUAGAGUGCGCCAUUGUGUUUUGUCGCCAGCCGCCACACUCGCCCAAUAGUUCCCUUGUUUGGUACCGGACUAUCAUCAUCGAUGGUAUUCUAUUUUCUAACUGCUCCAUGCUAUUAGCAGCCGGCCGACUCAUGCUUAUAGUCCUAGUGUGAACUUUGAGCUAGCUUAGAGCUAAUCUUGCAAAUCAACAUUCAUUAAAACCUAAUCAUCACGAAUAAGAGCAGUAUAAUAGAUAGGAACAGUUGCCGCCUCAAAAGUGACAAGUUGUACGUAGCUCCUUUUCAUUGGCUUGAUUUACUAUUCUAUUUCGCUCGUAUAUAGUCAGCUGUAGCAUUCUCAAGGUGGUUAGUGGACUUCGUUACCAUCACAAUCGCCACCAAAAGCUGCUUAAAAACACAUAACCACCAAUUAAUCUAUGACCUACUCCCUCCGUUCCUAAAUAUUUGUCUUUCUAGAGGUUUCAAAUGGUGACUACAUACGGAACAAAAUGAAUGAAUCUACACUCUAAAAUAUGUCUAUAUACAUCCGUAUGCGGUGACUAUUUGAAAUCCCUAAAAAGACAAAUAUUUAGGAACGGAGGGAGUAGUAAACUGAGCAACCUAAGCUGAGCAGGUCAUGAGCACAAGUCUCCUUUGAACUUCCGCCGUGGUCAAGAUACAACAUACAACUGUUAGUUCGUCAAGAUGACUGGUAAGUCUUCCUGUACCUCUCAUUUUCCAGUUCAAAAAAGAAUGCAACAUCACAUAUGUCACUGUUUUUACUAUCACUUUUGUAAACUUAAUUUGACAAUGUUAACAUUGAGUUUUGUAUAUAUGCCAUGCAGAGAGCGGGAGCAAUGAAAGUCUCUCACGGUACCCAAAAAAAAAAGAACGAACAAGGUGCACGGCCAGCUCAACAGACAUGUUUUGGUUGGUGCGCAGACUAACCCCACCAAAUGUUUGUAAGAGUUGUCUUGCUAAUUUUUUGACGAAGAAAUUUCUCACCUCAUUUGGCCAAUUAUUUGGCAAACAAUUCUACGUGAGAAGAAGGGGUGGAUACCAAUUAGCAAUAAGAAUUUUGCCAACAAACCAAACAAUAACAAAAACUUGAUUGGUAGCCAAUUUAUUGGCAAGGCCAGUUUGGGCACGAAACAAAACACAAGUGAUUCAUGUGGAUUCGUCCUUUUGAAGACUUGGAAAGAACUGUAACUACUUUGUUUAAAUAGUGAAGUUCAUUUAUGUAUUUUUAGAAUUUAAGAAAAAUAUAUGUUAAGUAUUUUCUGAACCUUUGUUUAUAUAUAUGAGCAUUUGUGAUAUGUGCGAAGUCAGAAACUCCAUGUUAUAAUUUUGCACGUCGCAAAUGAUCACAUUCUUUUGCCCAGUUUGCAAGGGAGAGUUUGCACAUGUUACUACAUGCAUUGCUUUUUGAUUUGCAAUUUAACGGCUGAUUGUUUUUCAAAUGGUCAACAAUCAGUUUUUGCUUACCAACUUUUUUUCAUCGUCUUUCUCACGUUCAUUCUACUACCAAUUGACUCUUGCAUGUAAGAAUAAAGAAUUUACAAUAAUAUAUACUUGUCAUUUUCAUAUUUGGGGAUUUUAGUUUAUUGGUAUAUACGUUGGGUUCUUUGAAACAGUUGUGAUGUGUAGCUAUUACUUGUUUAUUUUGACGUCACUGUAUUACUAUUUUGGGUAAUACUACUUCCUCCCCUCUUUUUUUGGUGGACGAUUAAAUCAUUUUAUUUUUUAUUUUUUAAUGGUAAUACCGCUUCCUUCUGGAUGUAUUCUAUUACUUGAUGGGUUCUAGCAUUUAUUUUUGUUUUUUGUCACUGUUUUGUUUUAUUUGUAUAAUACAGUCCCACUCAUGGACUAUACACUCCUAAAUUGCGCAUUCCUUCCGGUUCACAAAAAACAAUGUGGUGAUGUUUAAGUUGCACUAUACAACAACCAGCGGUAUUAUAACAUUUUGGAAGUAUUCUCUCAAGACAGAUAUAUGAUAUGAUUUUGAAGUUUCCAACUAAAGUAUUUUAGUUAAUGAUGGUAGUCAAAUUUCCGAAGUUUCACAACUUUAACAAAAACUAUUGUGAACUGGAAGAGUGUCAAACGACAGACAUAGUUUUUAAAAUUUAUUAUACCACAAGUGCUAAAGGCAUGCAUUGGUCUUGACAAACUCAUCACUUCUAAGAGUUGAUUACUACCCAAUUAAAAUAACGAGUAAAUCGAUUCUUUUGCAUGGACAUACGUGUUGGUUUCUCAAUGGUUAUAGAUUCGGUUGUGCCCAAUUAAAGUUAAGUUUAGUGUAAUAGACUUCCAUUUUUUUUCAUGUUUCAUAUGAAUAUGAUUACACGUUCAUAAUAUACAAUAAUACAUUCAUGCCUUUUAAUAUUUGGGAUUGUAGUAUUUUUAUAUAGAUUUGCUUUUAUGUUGGGUUCUUUGAAAUAAUUUUGAGGUGUACAUAUUUUAUCGCUUUGUAUUUUGUUGUCACUAGAUAACUAUCUUGGGUAAUACUACUUCUUCCUCUCCUUUUUUGCGGAUGAUCUUCUUAUUUUUAGUUUAUUUUGGGUAAUACUGCCUCCUUUCGGAAGUAUUCUAUUACUUGAUGGGUUGUUGCAUUUUUUGUUUUGUUUUGUCCUCGCCAUUUUAUUUUAUUUGUGUAAUACUUGUUUCCCACUCACGCACUGUACGCUUCUAGGUUAUAUGUAUUCUUUCUUGCUCACGAAAAAGCAAUGUGGCGACGUUUUAGCUGUAAUGUAACGGCCAACAUUAUUAUAACAUUUUGGAAGUCUUUCCUCAAGAAAAAAAAAUAUGCAUAUUACUUUGAAUAUGAUUACAUGUUCAUAUUCAUAACUGAGCCAGCAAACAUGCACGGCAAAGGGCCAUAUGCAGACAGGGAGCCAAAGAAACGGAGGCGCCCUUUGCCCGGGCGGACCAUGAGUCCAGCAUGUGGCGAGUGAGAUCGUGACCCAGCUGCGGGCAAAAACACGAACGCAUCUGCGUCAUCGUUAAAGAACAACGUGGCAUGAUAUUUGCAAGAACGUCCACAGCAACACGCACGGCCAGGUCAAUGGACCUCUUUGUUUGAAUCCUCAACGUUGGUCCCCAUGUUUAUUUUGUGAGUUUUGGAGUUGGUGAAGCUAAACUAAUCGAGCCAUCGCUGGGUAACCAUUGACGAGCGUUUUCCUCGAGCUUUUAACUAUUUCAUGACGCGGACGUAGCUAAGGCAUUUUACUAACCAAGUCAGUAUUCGUUGAGAGGAAUGUGCUAUUAGUUAAGUAUCACAAGCUAGGCUUUGUCGUUUUUUCAUUUGCUCGGCUAAAACACAAACAGUAUGUAAUCACCAAUACAGCUCAAUCACCAAUUAUUAUAUUCUGCGAGUUCGUUGCCUGCAGAAAAACAAUGCUGGCCAAUUAAUUAUGGACUUUUGCUAGUUCAUUAUUUUCCAGGAAGUCUUUUGGUAGUUCGUUGCCUCCAGGAAAACAAUAUAUGCUGCCCAAUGAUACAUAUGGUCUUCUCAAUGCCUCCAUUUAGACAGAACGACCAGAGUAGACCGUGCCAUUAUUACGGGGCUAAUACUAAUUUGUACAUUAGUCAGCGGCAGUGCCAGUAUGUUAUUGCCAAGUGACACGUACGGUGACUUUUUCCCGGUCGGUCGGCGGCACUGCCGUGUCUUUAUUUGCUCCGGCCGACGCGACGGAAUGUGCGUCGGUCUGCGGAGCAAAAGGACCGGUCCAGUCUCCCAUGGGAACAAGCUGCAUGGGUGCACGGUGCACGGUAGGAAGCACUACCUACUGUCCAUCCUCUAUCAUCAGCUGAUGCAAGCCGUCACCCGUUUGCACACGAGGCCUUGGUCCGUCACCUUCCAAUCAUCGUCCAUCAUAUGGCCUGCCUUGUGUUGUGGAGACACUGGAUUAAUUUUUUUCACAAAUAUGCAAAGCUUGCAUAUCAUUCAUUGAUAGAUGAAAAAUAGCAUAAGUACAUAAAAGGGCACAACACAUGUUAUUAACACAAACAAAGGUGUGAACAUGGUGCACAACAUUGAGAGACAUGAGAAAAUCGACCCAAGCAAAGAAAAACACAGCUAAACUCGCCCACCAGAGAAACAAUCCGACCAACAACAAGACGACCGACAUCUCUGAAGUCAGCACCGAGGACGCCGCGAGCAAACAAGACAACGCCUUAACAAAGGAGAACGACACCAAGACGCCGCCCACUGUCCUAUCGAGAAAACGGACCUAGGGUUUGUUGGAAAUAUGAGCAAUUUACGGAAUGAUUUUAUUAACAGAAAUACUAGAUAAAGCACAACUAGUAUAGCAGUGAUAAAACAAGUCAUGUGAUUUGACAGAGAGAAGUUAAAUAGCAUAUGCAUAUAUGAACUAGAACCGAACACAUCUAGAACAGACACUAGAGCAAGAAGUUGUGACAGAACCUCUAACAAGAAGAGUAUGAGAACGUACGGAACGGGAGCAGAUGCACCGGUCUUGGGGUCGGUGUCCUCGCCAGCCAUGUCGUCGAGGAGGUUGUCAACGUCGGGGAAGAAGUCAUCGUCGGGAAAGUAGUCGUCGGAGUUCGGGGCGUCCGUGACGAAGAAGUCAUUAGUCGCGCCGAGCACUCCCCAAAAACCUUAUCACCCUUCUCCCGUACAGGACUCAAAGAUGUGCGGUUUCGGAGGCCUACUGUCCCGACCUGUGGUGCAUGCCGCAAGCCGGGAUGGGGAAGAACGUAGCAGCAGCGCAGUGCAGGAACUUGUGGCGAGAGGAAGAAGAGGUUGUGGUGCGUCUCUCUGAGAGGAGCGACCACCCUUUUAUAGGCACAAGAGAAGGAGGCGAGAGGCUGCACUGGGAGCUGAAGAGAACGAGGGAGACGGCAGCAGGCGAAGAGGUGCGCCAUUCGUAUUCAAUCUCUCGGCGGCGUGACGAGGCGUGGCGGGCGGCGGAGGAGGAGCGCGCGUGGAUGUCCCUCUUGUUCUCAUCCUCAUACAUGUGGAGAAAGAGCCUCCCUUAUAAAGAGGUCCAACUCCCUCUAAACUAGCAAUGUGGGACUAAACUUUAGUUCCACCUCUUGCCUUGCACGAAUGGGCUGCGUGGGCCUCUAGGAUUUAUUAGGAAUUUCUGAAACUGCUAUUGGGCUUGGCCCAAAAUAGACAAAAUUCCAGCAAUCCCCCACCAGAUCCCAGAGGCACAAAAAAUUUGCCUUUGGUUCCAAAACACUGUUUUAUAUACCGGUACUAUAGUGGAGACUGUUAAGUUGAACUUCCACCUAGAACUCUAUGCUACACUAGUAAGCAACUUGGACAGUGGACUGGGCCUUGAACUGCAAGUUUUCUGCGAAUCUAGCUUCACAUAAAGCCUUGACCGAUACAUGGCUACCGUGGGUCUUCCCCGCGGGUGGAGCUUAUGUGUCAUACUCCGGGACCUUUCAUGAGUUUACUAUAGAGAACCCUACUCUCAUAGAUUGCGACGUUUGACAGUCAGACUCAUAUAGGUGUGUUCUUCAAAAGAUGUUCUGCAGGACAACAUCUCUGCUUAAAUGAGCCACUUAGAACACAUUAAGAUAUACAUCAACCUGCCAUGCAGUUUUAGGAGAGUAUUGCAUCUUCAUGGAGUGGUAUUGUUAAUAGUAAGGAUACUCUCCUCUCAGUUGAUCAACAGCUUGUCUUCCACAUCUAAUUCAUGGGAUCUCCGAUCACAAAGAAUAGGUUACCACUGUGAACAACUCAUAUUGUGGGUCUCAUACCCAUCUCCCUCGAUGCAUUAUCUAUCAUGUUACGUGAUAGACCCUUAGUAAAAGGAUCUGCCAGAUUUUUAGACGUUUGGAUAUAAUCCAAUGCAAUAACUCCGGAGUUUCUCAUUUUCCUGACAGACUUUAACCUUCUCUGAGCGUGUCUUGAUGACUUCAUGUUAUCCUUUGAGCUGCUCACUUUCGUGAUCACAGUUUGAUUGUCGCAGUUCAUAAGGAUACCCGGUACAGGUUUCUCAACAACCGGCAAGUCAUUCAAGAGACGGCGAAGCCAAUCUGCUUCGACCGUAGCUGUAUCUAGUGCUGUGAGUUCUGCUUCCAUUGUUGACCUCGUUAUGAUGGUCUGCUUGCAAGGCUUCCAAGAAACAGCGCCACCUCCAUGAGUGAAUACAUAACCGCUCGUGGCCUUUAUCUCAUCAGCAUCUGAGAUCUAGUUUGAGUCACUAUGCCCUUCAAGCACCUUUGGGUGCCCGGUGUAGUGAAUUCCAUAAUUCGCAGUGCCUUUCAAAUAACGCAAAACUCUCUCCAGAGCUUUCCAAUGCACAUCUCCUGGUUUUGAGACAAACCGACUCAGUUUGCUAACAGCAAAAGAGAUGUCAGGUCUUGUAGCACUGGCUAAGUACAUAAGCGAGCCAAUAAUCUGAGAAAAUUUCAAUUGAUCUCUAGCAAUUCUUCGAUUCUUUCGAAGUAACACACUCACAUCAUAUGGUGUUGGAGAGGGCUUGCAGUCACUAUAGCCAAAGCGACUCAAGAUCUUUUCCACAUAGUGAGAUUGAAGCAAUGUAAUCCCACCAUCAUCGUCUCUCAACAACUUGAUGUUCAGAAUGACAUCAGCCACUCCUAAAUCCUUCAUCUCAAAACAACGAGAUAGGAAAUCCUUGACCUCCUUAAUAACAUUCAGAUUUGUUCCGAAAAUCAGCACGUCAUCAACAUACAAGCAAAGGAUAACUCCCUCGCCCCCACCAUGGCGAUAGUACACACAUUUAUCAGCUUCGUCUACAACAAAGCCUGCAGCUGUUAAAAUUCUUUCAAACUUCUCAUGCCACUGUUUGAGUGCUUGCUUGAGUCCAUACAAAGACUUCAGCAACUUGCACACUUUUCCUUCCUGACCAUCUAGUACAAACCCAUCUGGUUGUUCCAUAUAAAUUUCCUCGUCCAACUCUCCAUUUAGGAAAGCAGUCUUAACAUCCAUUUGAUGAACGAGAAGACCAUGUGAGGCAGCUAGUGAAAGUAGAACUCGAAUAGUGGGCAGUCGAGCCACAGGUGAGUAAGUAUCAAAGUAGUCUUCACCUUCCUUUUGGGUAUAACCCUUAGCCACGAGUCAAGCCUUGUACUUUUCAAUAGUACCAUCAGGCCUAAGCUUCUUCUUGAAUACUCAUUUGCAUCAUAUAGGUUUGCACGCAUAAGGACGAUCAAUUAUCUCCCAAGUUUCAUUCGCCAAGAUAGAAUCCAUCUCGCUACGAACCGCUUCCUUCCAGUAGUCAGCAUCUUCAGAUGCAUAGGCCUCUGAAAUAGAACUGGGAGUGUCAUCUAUGAGAUACACAAGAAAAUCAUCACCAAAGGACUUUGCAGUCCUCUGUCUCUUGCUCCUAGUAGGAACUUCAUUGUUCUCCUCCACAGGACUUUCAAAAUGUUCCAUCGAAAUGGCAGGUUCGGUAGUUGUAACUGGUUCCUGAUUCGAUGAACUAGGCAUCUCCUGAUUAGAUGAGGUAGUCAUAUCCUUCAUGGGAAAGAUUGUUGGGAACGUAGCAAUAAUUCAAAAUUUUCCUACGUGUCACCAAGAUCAAUCUAGGAGAUGCUAGCAACGAGAGAGAGGGAGUGCAUCUUCAUACCCUUGAAGAUCGCUAAGCGGAAGCGUUACAAGAACGCGGUUGAUGGAGUCGUACUCGCGGCGAUUCAAAUCGCGGAAGAUCCGAUCUAGCGCCGAACGGACGGCGCCUCCGCGUUCAACACACGUACAGCCCGGGGACGUCUCCUCCUUCUUUAUCCAACAAGGGGAGAGGAGAAGUUGAGGAAGAACUCCAGCAGCACGACGGCAUGGUGGCAACGGAGCUUGUGGUUCUCCGGCAGGGCUUCGCCAAGCACUACGGAGGAGGAGGAGAUGUAUGAGGAGGAAGGGGCUGCGCCAAGGGAAGGGUAUGGCUGCCCUCCCACCCCCUCACCAUAUAUAGGGGAAAGGGGAGAGGGGGCCGGCCCCUCUAGAUGGAUCUAGAGGAGGAGGAGGCGGCCAGGGGAAACCCUAGAUGGGUUUGGGCGCCCCGACCCCCUAGGAAACUUGCCCCCCAAGCCGGGAGGGGCGGCUGCCCUAGGGGUGGUGCCCCCACCUCUCCUGGUUACGUGAGAGGGGUUGGGAGGGGCGCACAACCCCUUAGUGGGCUGGUUUGCCCCUUCCCCUUGGCCCAUAAGGCCCCCCAACGCUUGCCGGGGCCUCUGAAACCCCUUUCGGACAUGCUGGCCAUAGCCUGGUACCCCCGGAACAAUUCCGGACUCCAAUACCCUUCGUCCAAUAUACCGAUCUUCACCUCCGGACCAUUCUGGAGCUCCUCGUCAUGUCCGGGAUCUCAUCCGGGACUUCGAACAACCUUCGGUAACCACAUACUAUUUCCCAUAACAACUCUAGCGUCACCGAACCUUAAGUGUGUAGACCUUACGGGUUCGGGAACCAUGCAGACAUGACCGAGACACCUCUCCGGCCAAUAACCAAUAGCGGGAUCUGGAUACCCAUAUUGGCUCCCACAUGUUCCACGAUGAUCUCAUCGGAUGAACCACGAUGUCGGGGAUUCAAUCAAUCCUGUAUACAAUUCCCUUUGUCUAUCGGUAUGUUACUUGCCCGAGUUUCGAUCGUCGGUAUCCCAAUACCUCGGUCAAUCUCGUUACCGGCAAGUCUCUUUACUCGUUCCGUAACGCAUGAUCCCGUGGCUAACUCAUUAGUCACAUUGAGCUCAUUAUGAUGAUGCAUUACCGAGUGGGCCCAGAGAUACCUCUCCGUCAUACGGAGUGACAAAUCACAGUCUCGAUUCGUGCCAACCCAACAGACACUUUCGGAGAUACCUGUAGUGCACCUUUAUAGCCACCCAGUUACGUUGUGACGUUUGGUACACCCAAAGCAUUCCUACAGUAUCCGGGAGUUGCACAAUCUCAUGGUCUAAGGAAACGAUACUUGACAUUAGAAAAGCUCUUAGCAAACGAACUACACGAUCUUUUGCUAUGCUUAGGAUUGGGUCUUGUCCAUCACAUCAUUCUCGAUCCCGUUAUCAAUGACAUCCAAUGUCCAUGGUCAGGAAACCAUAACCAUCUAUUGAUCAACGAGCUAGUCAACUAGAGGCUUACUAGGGACAUGUUGCGGGUAUUCGCACAUGUAUUACGGUUUCCAGUUAAUACAAUUAUAGCAUGAACAAUAGACAAUUAUCAUGAACAAGGAAAUACAAUAAUAACCAUUUUAUUAUUGCCUCUAGGGCAUAUUUCCAACAGUCUCCCACUUGCACUAGAGUCAAUAAUCUAGUUCACAUCACCAUGUGAUUAACACUCAAAGUUCACAUCGCCAUGUGACUAAUACCCAAGAGUUUACUAGAGUCAAUAACCUAGUUCACAUCACCAUGUGAUUAACACUCAAUGAGUUCUAGGGUUUGAUCAUGUUAUGCUUACGAGAGAGGUUUUAGUCAACGGGUCUGCAACAUUCAGAUCCGUGUGUGCUUUACAAAUCUCUAUGUCAUCUUGUAGAUGCAGCUACCAUGCGCUACUUGGAGCUAUUGCAAAUAACUGCUCUACUAUACGAAUCUGGUUUACUACUCAGAGUCAUCCGGAUUAGUGUCAAAGUUUGCAUCGACGUAACCCCUUACGACGAAAUCCUUUUCCACCUCCAUAAUCGAGAAAAUUUCUUAGUCCACUAGAUACUAAGGAUUAGUUCGACCGAUGUCAUGUGAUCCAUUCCUGGAUCACUCUUGUACCCCUUGACUAAUUCAUGGCAAGGCACACUUCAGGUGCGGUACACAGCAUAGCAUACUGUAGAGCCUACGUCUAAAGCAUAGGGGGCGACCUUCGUCCUUUCUCUCUCUCUUCUGCCGUGGUCAGGUCUUGAGUCUUACUCAAUACUCACACCUUGUAACACAGCCAAGAGCUCCUUCUUUGCUGAUCUAUUUUGAACUCCUUCAAAAUCUUGUCACGGUAUGUAUUCAUUUGAAAGUACUAUUAAGCGUUUUUGAUCUAUCCUUAUAGAUCUUGAUGCUCAAUGUUCAAGUAGCUUAAUCCAGGUUUUCCAUUGAAAAACACUUUUCAAAUAACCCUGUAUGCUUUCCAGAAAUUCUACAUCAUUUCUGAUCAACAAUAUGUUAACAGCAUAUACUCAUCAAAAAAUCUAUAGUGCUCCCACUCACUUCUUUGGAAAUACUAGUUUCUCAUAAACUUUGUAUAAACCCAAAAUCUUUGAUCAUCUCAUCAAAGCGUACAUUCCAACUCCGAGAUGCUUACUCCAGUCCUUAGAAGGAUUGCUGGAGCUUUGCAUACUUGUUAGCAUGUUUCAGGAUUGACAAAACCUUCUGGUUGUAUCACAUACAACCUUUCCUCAAGAAAAUCGUCGAGUAAACAAUGUUUUCACAUCCCAUCUGGAAGAUUUCAUAAAUAAUGCAGUAACUGCUAAUAUAAUUCCAACAGACUCUUAGCAUCGCUACGAGUGAGAAAGUCUCAUCGUAGUCAACUCCUUGAACUUGUCGGAAAACAUCUUAACGACAAGUCGAGCUUUCUUAAUGGUGACACUUACCAUCAUUGUCCGUCUUCCUUUUAAAAUCCAUCUGCACCCAACAGCCUUACGACCAUCAAGUAGUUCUUCCAAAGUCUAUACUUUGCUUUUAUACAUGGAUCCUCUCUCGGAUUUUAUGGCCUUGAGCCAUUCGUCAGAAUCCGGGCCCACCAUCGCUUCUCCAUAGCUCAUAGGUUCAUUGUUGUCUAGCAACAUGACUUCCAAGACAGGAUUACGUACCACUCUGAAGUAGUACGCAUCCUUGUUGACCUACGAGGUUUGGUAGUGACUUGAUCCGAAGUUUCAUGAUCACUAUCAUAAGCUUCCACUUCAAUUGGUGUAGGUGCCACAGGAACAACUUCCUGUGCCCUGCUACACAGUAGUUGAAGUGAUAGUUCAAUAACCUCAUCAAGUCAACACCAUCCCCCCACUCAAUUCUUUCGAGAGAAACUUUUCCUCGAGAAAGGACCUGUUUCUAGAAACAAUCACUUUGCUUCCGAAUCUGAAAUAGGAGGUAUACCCAACUGUUUUGGGUAUUCUAUGAAGAUGCAUUUAUCCGCUUUGGGUUCGAGCUUAUCAGCCUGAAACUUUUUCACAUAAGCGUCGCAGCCCCAAACUUUUAAGAAACGACAGCUUAGGUUUCUCUAAACCAUAGUUCAUAUGGUGUCGUCUCAACGGAAUUGCGUGGUGCCCUAUUUAAAGUGAAUGCGGUUGUCUCUAAUGCCUAACCCAUAAACGAUAGUGGUAAUUCGAUAAGAGACAUCAUGGUAUGCACCAUAUCCAAUAGGGUGCAGUUAUGAUGUUCGAACACACCAUCACACUAGGGUGUUCCAGUCGGUAUUAGUUGUGAAGUGAUUUCCACAAUGUCUUAAUUGUGUGCCAAACUCGUAACUCAGAUAUUCAUCUCUAUGAUCAUAUCAUAGACAUUUUAUCCUCUUGUCAUGACGAUCUUCAACUUCACUCUGAAAUUACUUGAACCUUUCAAUAAUUCAGACUUGUGUUUCAUCAAGUAAAUAUUCUCAGCAUCUACUCAAAUCAUCUCUGAAGUAAGAACAUAACGAUAUCCACUACAUGCCUCAGCACUCAUUGGACUACACACAUCAAAAUGUAUUACUUCCAACAGUUGCUUUCUUGUUCCAUCUUACUGAAAACGAGGCCUUUCAGUCAUCUUGCCCAUGUGGUAUGAUUUGCAUGUCUCGAGUGAUUCAAAAUCAAGUGAGUCCAAACGAUCCAUCUGUAUGGACUUUCUUCAUGCAUAUAUACUAAUAGACAUGGUUCGCAUGUCUCAAUCUUUCAAAAACGAGUGCGUCCAAUGAUCCAUCAACAUGGAGCUUCUUCAUGCGUUUUAUACCAAUAUGACUCAAGUGCCAGUGCCACAAGUAUGUGGUACUAUCUUAUAUCUUUUGGCAUGAACAUGUGUAUCACUACGAUCGAGAUUCAACAAACCAUUCAUUUUAAGUGCAAGACCAUUGAAGGUAUUAUUCAAAUAGACAGAGUAACCAUUAUUCUCCUUAAAUGAAUAACUGUAUUGCGAUAAACAUAAUCCAAUCAUGUCUAUGCUCAACGCAAACACCAAAUAACAAUUAUUUAGGUUUAACACCAAUCUCGAUGGUAGAGGGAGCAUGCGAUGCUUGAUCACAUCAACCUAGGAAACACUUCCAACACAUACCGUCAUCUCACCUUUAGCUAGUCUCCGUUUAUUCCGUAGCCUUUUAUUUCGAGUUACCAACACUUAGCAACCGAACCGGUAUCUAAUACCCUGGUGCUACUAGGAGUACUAGUAAAGUACACAUUAAUAUAAUGUAUAUCCAAUAUACUUCUGUCAACCUUGCCUGCCUUCUCAUCUACCAAGUAUCUAGGGUAGUUCUGCUUCAGUGACCGUUCCCCUCAUUACAGAAGCACUUAGUCUCGGGUUUGGGUUCAACCUUGGGUUUCUUUACUAGAGCAGCAACUGAUUUGCCGUUUCAUGAAGUAUCCCUUCUUUCCCUUGCCCUUCUUGAAACUAGUGGUUUUACUAACCAUCAACAAUUGAUGCUCCUACUUGAUUUCUACUUUCGCGGUGUCAAACAUCGCGAGUUGCUCAAGGAUCAUCAUGUCUAUCCCUGAUAUGUUAUAGUUCAUCACGAAGCUCUAAUAGCUUGGUGGCAGUGACUAUGGAGAACCAUCACUAUCUCAUCUGGAAGAUUAACUCCCACUCGAUUCAAGCGAUUGUAGUACUCAGACAAUCUGAGCACUUGCUCAACGAUUGAGUUUUUCUCCCUUAGUUUGCAGGCUUAAGAAACUUGUCAGAGGUCUCAUACCUCUUGACGUGGGCACUAGUCUGAAAUCCCAAUUUCAGUCUUUGGAACAUCUCAUAUGUUCUACGACGUUUCAAAACCGUCUUUGGUGCCACAAUUUUAAACCGUUAGCAUUACGCACUGAACUAUUACGUAGUCAUCAAAACGUGUAUGUCAGAUGUUUCGCAACAUCUACAGACGACGCUCGAGGUUCAGCACACCGAGCGGUGCAUUAAGGACAUAAGCCUUCUGUGCAGCAAUGAUGACAAUCCUCAGUGUACGGACCCAGUCCGCAUAAUUGCUACUGUCAACUUUCAACUAAAUUUUCUCUAGGAACAUAUCUUAAACAGUAGAACUAAAGCGUAAGCUAUGACAUAAUUUGCAAAGACCUUUUGACUAUGUUCAUGACAAUUAAGUUCAUCUGAUUAUUUAAUGAACUCCCACUUAGAUAGACAUCCCUCUAGUCAUCUAAGUGAUACAUGAUCCGAGUCAACUAGGCCGUGUCCGAUCAUCACGUGAGACGGACUAGUUAUCAUCGGUGAACAUCUUCAUGUUGAUCGUAUCUACUAUACGACUCAUGUUCGACCCUUCGGUCUCUUGUGUUCCGAGGCCAUGUCUGUCGAUAGGCUCGUCAAGUCAACCUCAGUGUUUCGCAUGUGUAAAUCUGGCUUACACCCGUUGUAUGUGAACGUUAGAAUCUAUCACACCCGAUCAUCACGUGGUCCUUCGAAACAACGAACCUUCGCAACGGUGCACAGUUAGGGGGAACACAUCUCUUGAAAUUUUAGUGAGGGAUCAUCUUAUUUAUGCUACCGUCGUUCUAAGCAAAUAAGAUGUAAACACGACAAACAUCACAUGCAAAUCAUAGAGUGACAUGAUAUGGACAGUAUCAUCUUGCGCCUUCUGAUCUCCAUCUUCGAGGCGCGACAUGAUCACCUUCGUCACCGGCAUGACACCAUGAUCUCCAUCAUCGUGUCUUCAUGAAGUUGUCUCGCCAACUAUUACUUCUACUACUAUGCCUAACGGUUAGCAAUAAAGUAAAGUAAUUACAUGGCGUUUUUCAUUGACACGCAGGUCAUACAAUAAAUUAAGACAACUCCUAUGGCUCCUGCCGGUUGUCAUACUCAUCGACAUGCAAGUCGUGAUUCCUAUUACAAGAACAUGAUCAAUCUCAUACAUCACAUAUAUAUAAUUCAUCACAUCCUUUUGGCCAUAUCACAUCACAUAGCAUACCCUGCAAAAACAAGUUAGACGUCCUCUAAUUGUUGUUGCAUGUUUUACGUGGCUGCUAUGGGUUUCUAGCAAGAACGUUUCUUACCUACGCAAAAGCCACAACGGUGAUAUGCCAAUUGCUAUUUACCCUUCAUAAGGACCCUCUUCAUCGAAUCCGAUCCGACUAAAGUGAGAGAGACAGACACCCGCUAGCCACCUUAUGCAUCAAGUGCAUGUCAGUCGGUGGAACCUGUCUCACGUAAGAGUACGUGUAAGGUCUCCGGGCCGCUUCAUCCCACAACGCCGCCGAAUCAAGAUAAGACUAGUAACGGCAAGCAAAUUGACCAAAUCAUCGCCCACAACUACUUUGUGUUCUACUCGUGCAUAGAAUCUACGCAUAGACCUAGCUCAUGAUGCCACUGUUGGGAACAUAGCAAUAAUUCAAAAUUUUCCUACGUGUCACCAAGAUCAAUCUAGGAGAUGCUAGCAACGAGAGAGAGGGAGUGCUUCUUCAUACCCUUGAAGAUCGCUAAGCGGAAGCGUUACAAGAACGCGGUUGAUGGAGUCGUACUCGCGGCGAUUCAAAUCGCGGAAGAUCCGAUCUAGCGCCGAACGGACGGCGCCUCCGCGUUCAACACACGUACAGCCCGGGGACGUCUCCUCCUUCUUGAUCCAGCAAGGGGAGAGGAGAAGUUGAGGGAGAACUCCAGCAGCACGACGGCGUGGUGGCAAUGGAGCUCGUGGUUCUCCGGCAGGGCUUCGCCAAGCACUACGGAGGAGGAGGAGAUGUAUGAGGAGGAAGGGGCUGCGCCAAGGGAAGGGUAUGGCUGCCCUCCCACCCCCUCACCAUAUAUAGGGGAAAGGGGAGAGGGGGCCAGCCCCUCUAGAUGGAUCUAGAGGAGGAGGCGGCGGCCAAGGGAAAUCCUAGAUGGGUUUGGGCGCCCCCACCCCCUAGGAAACUUGCCCCCAAGCCGGGAGGGGCGGCUUCCCUAGGGGUGGCGCCCCCACCUCUCCUGGUUACGUGAGAGGGGUUGGGAGGGGCGCACAGCCCCUUAGUGGGCUGGUUUGCCCCUUCCCCUUGGCCCAUAAGGCCCCCCAACGCUUGCCGGGGCCUCCGAAACCCCUUUCGGACAUGCUGGCCAUAGCCUGGUACCCCCGGAACAAUUUCGGACUCCAAUACCCUUCGUCCAAUAUACCGAUCUUCACCUCCGGACCAUUCCGGAGCUCCUCAUCAUGUCCGGGAUCUCAUCCGGGACUCCAAACAACCUUCGGUAACCACAUACUAUUUCCCAUAACAACUCUAGCGUCACCGAACCUUAAGUGUGUAGACCCUACGGGUUCGGGAACCAUGCAGACAUGACCGAGACACCUCUUCGGCCAAUAACCAAUAGCGGGAUCUGGAUACCCAUAUUGGCUCCCACAUGUUCCACGAUGAUCUCAUCGGAUGAACCACGAUGUCGGGGAUUCAAUCAAUCCCGUAUACAAUUCCCUUUGUCUAUCGGUAUGUUACUUGCCCGAGUUUCGAUCAUCGGUAUCCCAAUACCUCGUUCAAUCUCGUUACCGGCAAGUCUCUUUACUCGUUCCAUAACGCAUGAUCCCGUGGCUAACUCAUUAGUCACAUUGAGCUCAUUAUGAUGAUGCAUUACCGAGUGGGCCCAGAGAUACCUCUCCGUCAUACGGAGUGACAAAUCCCAGUCUCGAUUCGUGCCAACCCAACAGACACUUUCGGAGAUACCUGUAGUGCACCUUUAUAGCCACCCAGUUACUUGUGACGUUUGGUACACCCAAAGCAUUCCUAUAGUAUCCGGGAGUUGCACAAUGUCAUGGUCUAAGGAAACGAUACUUGACAUUAGAAAAGCUCUUAGCAAACGAACUACACGAUCUUGUGCUAUGCUUAGGAUUGGGUCUUGUCCAUCACAUCAUUCUCCUAAUGAUGUGAUCCCGUUAUCAAUGACAUCCAAUGUCCAUGGUCAGGAAACCAUAACCAUCUAUUGAUCAAUGAGCUAGUCAACUAGAGGCUUACUAGGGACAUGUUGCGGUCUAUGUAUUCACACAUGUAUUACGGUUUCCAGUUAAUACAAUUAUAGCAUGAACAAUAGACAAUUAUCUUGAACAAGGAAAUACAAUAAUAACCAUUUUAUUAUUGCCUCUAGGGCAUAUUUCCAACAAAGAUAUCUUCAAAGAAAGUCGCAUCAUUCGACUCCAUGAUCGUACCAACAUGCAUGUCAGGUACCUCUGAUUUUAUAACCAAGUAUCUAUAAACAAUGCUAUGAAAAAGCAUAUGCCAGGAAAACACAAUCCACGGUCUUUGGUCCAAGCUUGUGCUACUUUGGAAUUGGCACAUUGACUUUCGCCAAACAACCCCAGGUUCGUAGAUAAGAGAGCUUUAAUCUUUUCUUCUCCCAUUCCUCGAUGGAGUUAUCUCUUUGUUCUUUGUGGGAACUCGGUUUAGGACAUGACAUGCCGUCAAUAUCGCCUCCCCCCACCAUGCCUAGGAGAGACCCGAUGUGUCUAACAUGGCGUUAACCAAAUCAGUGAAAGUACGGUUCUUUCUUUCGGCUACCCCAUUUGACUGAGGUGAAUAGGGAGGCGUCGUCUCAUGGAUUAUACCAUGUUCUGCACAAAAAGUAUCGAAUUCAUUGGAAAAUUCUCUCCACCACGGUCGGACCUAAGCCUCUUGAUUUUCCGAUCAAGUUGGUUUUCCACUUCAGCUUUAUUGAUCUUAAAAAAGUUCAAAGCCUCAUCCUUAGAUUUCGGAAGAUACACACGGCAGUAUCUAGCGGAGUCGUCAAUUAACGUCAUGAAAUAUUUCUUUCCACCUUUUGUCAAAACACCAUUUAUUUCAUAUAGAUCUGAAUGUAUGAGCUCUAGUGGUGCAAGAUUUCUCGUUUCUGCAGUCGUGUGAGACUUACGAGGUUGCUUAGCUUGCACAUAAACUUGACACUUAGAUCCCUUGACAGAGGUGAAACUAGGGAUUAAGUUCAACUUCGCUAGUCGCGACAUGCAACCAAAGUUAACAUGACAUAGACGUGAAUGCCACACAUUUGAUUCACUAUUGUUGCAAACAUGAUUAACAACUUUAUUGCAAACGUCUGACAAGGAUAAACGAAACAGGCCUUCUGACUCAUAGCCUUUACCAACAAAGGUUCCAUACUUGGAUAUUACAAAUUUAUUCGACUCAAAGACAAGAUUAUAGCCAUCUCUACACAGAAGAGAUCCGCUAACAAGAUUUUCCCCGAAGUUCUUCAGCCGCACGAUCUUCCCCGAAGUAAAUUUCAGAUCGACCGUGCCAACACCACGAACAGAAGCACUUGAAACGUUGCCCAUCAGCACGAUUGAAGUCCAUGCGGUCUGAUAAGACGAAAACAUGGAAAUAUCACCGCAUACAUGCACAUUAGCACCCAUGUCAAUCAACCAAUCAGGAGAAUGAUAUACUGAAAGAAUAGUGGGAAAUAUACCAUACCCAGCAUCCUUCAUGUCAGUGUCUCCAAUGACAACAUUAGCGGUCUUGCCGCCUUUCCCAGGAUGACGCUCGUUUUAGCGAUUAGGGCACCUAGGAGCCCAAUGAUCAGGAUCCCCACACACAUGACAAACACCUUUCUUCUUGUCAUCCUUCUUCUUGAAGUUCGUGUAUUGCACAGCCUUGUUCUUCCCAUCAAACUUGCCCUUGUUCUUGAACUUGUGGGGCUGGAAGUUCUUCUUCUGUACCAGAUUGGCACUAGAUCCUCCCUAAAUACCUCGAGCACGUGUGUCCUUUGCUCUCGCCUUUUCUUCCACAUCAAGAGUGCCAAUGAGAUCCGAGACGGAAAACUCCUGUCUCUUAUGCUUCAGUAAGGUAGCAAAGUUCCUCCAUGAAGGAGGAAGCUUAGUGAUGAUACCUCCGGCAACAAACUUGUCCGGUAGCAUACAACUGAAGUGCUCAAGUUCUCUAGCAAAUGACUGUAUCUCAUGAGCUUGCUCAACCACGGAGCGCUCUUCAGUCAUCUUGUAAUCAUAGAAUCGCUCCAUGAUGUACAACUCAGUGCCAGCAUCCGAGACCCCAAACUUGGCCUCGAGUGCAUCCCACAUAUCUUUUCCAUUAUCAACUGACGCAUAAGCAUCAACUAUGUUCUCACCAAGAACACUCAAGAGAGCAGCCUUAAACAGAGUAUCCAUUUUCUGAAAAGCUUGUGCCUGUUGAGCAUCAAGCUCUCCUUCAAGUUUGCCAAGAGUGGCGUCAUAGCAGCUCAUGGUUUGAAAUCAUAAGACUGCUCUCACGCGCCACCUCUUAUAGUGGAUACCCUCAAACAUAGGAGGUCUCAUGGAAGCAGCAAAACCACUCGGGGUAAAUUGCCUAUAAUAAGGUUUUUGGAUUGUUGGAAAUAUGAGCUAUUUACCGAAUGAUUUUAUUAAGAGAAAUACUAGAUAAAGCACAACUAGUAUAGCAGUGAUAAAACAAGUCAUGUGAUUUGACAGAGAGAAGUUAAAUAGCAUAUGCAUAUAUGAACUAGAACCGAACACAUCUAGAACAGACACUAGAGCAAGAAGUUGUGACAGAACCUCUAACAAGAAGAGUAUGAGAACAUACGGAACGGGAGCAGAUGCACCGGUCUUGGGGUCGGUGUCCUCGCCAGCCAUGUCGUCGAGGAGGUUGUCAACGUCGGGGAAGAAGUCGUCGUCGGGAAAGUAGUCGUCGGAGUUCGGGGCGUCCGUGACGAAGAAGUCAGUAGUCGCGCUGAGCACUCCCCAAAAACCUUAUCACCCUUCUCCCGUACAGGACUCAAAGAGGUGCGGUUUCGGAGGCCUACUGUCCCGACCUGCAGUGCACGCUGCAAGCCGGGAUGGGGAAGAACGUAGCAGCAGCGCAGUGCAGGAACUUGUGGCGAGAGGAAGAAGAGGUUUUGGUGCGUCUCUCUGAGAGGAGCGACCUCCCUUUUAUAGGCGCAAGAGAAGGAGGCGAGAGGCUGCGCUGGGAGCUGAAGAGAACGAGGGAGACGAAACGAACAGGCAGCAAGUGAAGAGGUGCGCCGUUCGUAUUCAACCUCCACUACAGCAAAAACGUUUCAGCUUCCGCGUGACCUUUCGUAUAGCCGUCGUGCAUGGCAAAAAUUUAGACAUCGGCUCGACUCAUUCCCGCAACCCGCAGCGCGUCGUGGCGAGGCGGGCGGCGGAGGAGGAGCGCGCAUGGAUGUCCCUCUUGUUCUCAUCCUCAUACAUGUGGAGAAAGAGCCUUCCUUAUAAAGAGGUCCAACUCCCUCUAAACUAGCAAUGUGGGACUAAACUUUAGUUCCACCUCUUGCCUUGCACGAAUGGGCUGCGUGGGCCUCUAGGAUUUAUUAGGAAUUUCUGAAACUGCUAUUGGGCUUGGCCCAAAAUAGACAAAAUUCCAGCAGGGUUUCCCCUAAAGCUUGAAGAGGGGCACAGAUCACGGCCAUGACAAUGCCUUCAAGAAGGGAACGACACCCACAAGUAUCGGCGCUGCUGCGGAAGAAGUCUUGUGUUUAGUCUGUAUUUUGUAAUGGCUCGGACAAUGGUUGUAUUUUGUCUGUACUCUGCUUAAUAAUUAAUAAAAAUGGUUGUAUGCAUCAUAUUGAUGCAGAGGCCGGGAUUUUAACCUCCUUUUCAAAAAAAAGUAUCGGCGCUGCCAGCACAGAAUGCAGGAUUUCGCCCUGACCAAAUUCUGAGCAAUCCCAAGCCGCCGGAGCACGAGUCGGAGAAGAGGAAGUCAAGUAUAGGCCGAAAUUGCGACUGUAGGAAGGGAGCCACGCCCGCCACCGAAGGAGGCACCGGGUGCCGCCCGACGUGCGAGGUUUGAAGGGGGGUAAGGUUGCGUGGCUGAGCGGAGUGAAUGGCGGCAGGAUGUGACGGUGGCCGGAGCCCCGAACAAGCCACGAUAUGGAAAGAGUGCAGAUCAAGGCCACCGGGACCGGAGCAGCAGGCACACCCAAGGAGUUGGAAGGGGAUGCAGCUCCUGAAGCGUGUCGAGAACAGAGAUGCGCCGGGAUGGGGGGUCAACCAAGGACACCAGUAGGGUGAUGGUGUGGAGAUGUCGAGGAGCCAACGAGCCAAAGGUGCCGGAAAGAGCGCAGCCCCCGUGGUGCGCCGGACCCGAAGCCGCACGGCCGACCAUGGACGCAGGAAGGAGCACAGGUCCACUGUCGCCUGGCCGAAGCCGCCCCUGCUGGGGGGAGGGGUGGGUGGUGAAGCUCACACGCAGCCAAAUCCUUGGCCGAUGCACUAUAGGAAGCAGCCGCCGCUGGGCACAACCCCACACCUCCACAGCCGCCUCAUCGGGAGGCAGAUCUAUAGCCGAGCAGGGGGUGAGGGUGGUGGGGUUUGGGGGAGAGGGGCGCAGCGAGGAGGGCGCGCCAGCCGCCAUGGCAGACCGACUGGUGAGGACCAUGCCCGGCCGGGGGGGGGGGAACCCAGAUCCCAUCUGGGUUGUGGGAGGCCAUCCAUGCGGGACAACAAGGGGGAGGCCACCCGCGCCGAGAUUACCGGCGAAGAGACCACCGGGGAGGCUGUCGUCGCCGCUGGUGGAGGCUGCAGGCGCCGCCAGCGGCUGGAUCUGGGGGAGGGGGGUUACACUACUAGAAGUAGCGCGGGUUUUUGGCCUAGCAGUAGCGCGGGUGACCAUGCUACUACUACGGCGCUACAGCUAAAGGCUAGCAGUAGCGUUUGUUUACCCGCGCUACCGCUAUAUCUACUUAGUAGUAGCGCUUCCUGCAAAAAGCGCUACUGGUAAUUAGUAGUAGCGCGUCACACAGCCCGCACUACUAUUAUUAUUCCAUAUUCUAUUUUUUAUGUCGUAUUCAUACACCUUUAUACAAGUUUUCAUAUAGUAGCAAUUUAGAGAUUGUUUUUACAUUAUAAUGAGUUAUUAAAUCACUAGGUGAAAGAACCACGGAUUAGUGAUAAUCCAUGACUUGGUCACUUAGGAUCCAUCCACUUGAAACUAAACCGCGGUUCUUUCACCCAAUGAUAUAAUAACUCAUCAUCAUCAUCAUAUUAAUAUAAAAACUCUUGCAUCAUAUCAUCACCAACAACACUAGCUAAUAAUCAUCAUAAUCAUUAUCACCAACACUAUUUAAUCAUCAUAGUCAUAGUGUAGCUAUGUAAUCACCACCAACACUAGCUAUUUAAUCAUCAUAGUCAUAGUGUAGCACAUCAUCAUCUUCAAACUGAUAAUUCUAGCUAGCUAAUCACUUCUGCUGCUCUCUCUCAGGUAAAAUAGCAUAGAACAUGUGUAGCACUCCUGCUUCAUCAUAUUGGAGCAUGCAGAUGAACAUGUCUCCUAAUUGUGGGCCGCGCUUCUGAUUACUGCCCCCUAGUACUUCUCUGCUGCGAUCCUUCAUAAUUUUGCUCCAGUCUUUGACUAUUAAGACUUGCUGGCUUCGGGAAAUCUUAAAUGCACUAAAGUGCAAUGUAGGAUGUCUUGGCAAUAAGCUAACCAUUGUCAUGCGACCUUGAUGCUCGAUCCAUUGAGGCAUAACUAUCAUCGGGAGUCCCUGUUGAAGAACAUCGUAGUAACAUACUUAGCAAUGAAGUUUAGCUUAAAAAUAAUGUAUGCAAAAGAUGCACUGAGGACAAAUAGUAAAAAUCUUACCAUCUUUCCUAAAUAGAUGUGACCGUAGUUCAAUACGAACACUAUUGGUCGCACGUUUUGAGUACUAAGAUUUUGAAGCCUAGGAAAAUAAUUUGUCUUGACAGUAUCAAGAUCCUCAAGCCAUGAAACAUAAUGACUUAUCUCCUCGCAGUUUAGUUCAGCCCCGGGAUAGUAGUAGGUCAUGUCUACCAAGCGCCGGACAUGUUUGCUAAUAUGCUGUCAAUAGAAAUUAGUUGUCAACUAUUUUUGAAUAAACAAUAUCGAAUACAUAAAUAUGGUUGAGAAACUCAGAUAAUGGUAGAAUUGGAGACGUCUGCACAUCGACCCAGAUGUCGAUAUUACCUUCGAUAUCAUCUUCCAGACGAAUAUCAAAGGUGAUAAGCAUAUCAGGCUCAAAUGCAUAAGCCUUGCAUAGUGCUCUCCAAUUUUUGCAUUCAAAAUAGGUGUAGGUGUCUGCAUUGUAUAAUUUUACGGCAAAAGUAUAACCAUGCUCGGUCCUCAAGUGAACUCUCUUUACCUUCAUAGUUACCAUAGGACUGAAACCAAUCUUAUCCAAGACAAAAAUUCUUUCCUGGCAGGGGAUACGCUAGUACAAUAGUAAAAAUUAAAAUUAUAAGUUGAAGCAAAAGAAGCAGAAGUCAUGCUUAAUUAUGAAAAGAGACUUGUCGUUGUGACUUACGGUAUCCGCUUCGAAGGUCUCAUCCAGCUUGAUGCUGAAGCGCCUACCAUCAACUAGGAAAUGUCUGUCGCACAGGCUGCGCUCGUCUUUGCAGUAUUCAGGCAUACCGAAAUACUUUUUCUUGUCAGACAUUUCCUAUGUUCAUAGUUGAAUCAUUAAUUGAAAAUCGAUCGAAGGCAACUACCAGAAAACUCAACACACAGAUCACUAUUACUCAAUAUGCGACGGGUUGACUUUAGGUCUGUCGAGUCUUCCUUCCUAAACUCUCAUCUCACAUAUAUGGUGGGCACACCCUCUCUGAUAUUGCGACCGUCGGUGAUGAUUUCUACUCCUUUCCCUAGUGCAUUACAAAUAUCUAGCACAAGGAAAAGAAAGAGAAGCGACCCCCACGACAACAGUCGGCAUUCUUCUUCUCUCAUAUAUGGUGGACACUCCCUCACCGAUUUUUCGACCGUCGAUGAUGGUCGCUACUCCUUCUUCCCCUAGUGCAUAAAAAAGGCCUAGCACAAAGAGAAGAAGGAGAAGCGACCCCCACGACCACAGUCGGCAUUCUUCCUCUCUCAAAUAUAUAUGGUGGACACUCUCCCUCACUGAAAGACACACAUGGAGUCGAAACAGACCUAAAGUCAACACGUUCCAUAUAUCGAGCAAUGACAUAGAAAAAAUGCCAUAUGUUUUGCCGAAAUAUCAUUGAAUUCCCGUUCUGGCAAAUCACAAGCACUCGAUAUGCCCUACAUUGUAGCACAAGUCAUGCUAAAAUUCAUGAAAAUUUUCGGCAUGACCUUUGCUAAAGACAGGACAUAUCGAGCGCCUGAAAUUUGCCAGAACGGAAACGAAUCAACAUUCCGGCAAAACAUAGACAACUCGGAGGCACGUUGCAAACAAGAACACCAAGACAUCCUCUAUAUUCAGAAUGCAUCAUCAUCGACAUCAAUGACAUGGCAACUAUAUAGCACUAGGUUUUUCAUCAUCGACAUUUACUGUUGGAAAUAUGCCCUAGAGGCAAUAAUAAAUUGGUUAUUAUUAUAUUUCCUUGUUCAUGAUAAUCGUUUAUUAUCCAUGCUAGAAUUGUAUUGAUAGGAAACCCAGAUACAUGUGUGGAUACAUAGACAACACCAUGUCCCUAGUGAGCCUCUAGUUGACUAGCUCGUUGAUCAAUAGAUGGUUACGGUUUCCUAACCAUGGACAUUGGAUGUCGUUGAUAACGGGAUCACAUCAUUAGGAGAAUGAUGUGAUGGACAAGACCCAAUCCUAAGCUUAGCACAAGAUCGUGUAGUUCGUUUGCUAAAGAGCUUUUCUAAUGUCAAGUAUCAUUUCCUUAGACCAUGAGAUUGUGCAACUCCCGGAUACCGUAGGAAUGCUUUGGGUGUACCAAACGUCACAACGUAACUGGGUGGCUAUAAAGGUGCACUACAGGUAUCUCCGAAAGUGUUUGUUGGGUUGGCACGAAUCGAGACUGGGAUUUGUGUAAACGAAGAGGUAUCUCUGGGCCCACUCGGUAGGACAUCAUCAUAAUGUGCACGAUGUGACCAAGGAGUUGAUCACGGGAUGAUGUGUUACGGAACGAGUAAAGAGACUUGCCGGUAACGAGAUUGAACAAGGUAUCGGGAUACCGACGAUCAAAUCUCGGGCAAGUACUAUACCGAUUGACAAAGGGAAUUGUAUACGGGAUUGAUUGAAUCCUUGACAUCGUGGUUCAUCCGAUGAGAUCAUCGAGGAGCAUGUGGGAGCCAACAUGGGUAUCCAGAUCCCGCUGUUGGUUAUUGACCGGAGAGUCGUCUCGGUCAUGUCUGCGUGUCUCCCGAACCCGUAGGGUCUACACACUUAAGGUUCGGUGACGCUAGGGUUGUAGAGAUAUUAGUAUGUGGCAACCCGAAAGUUGUUCGGAGUCCCGGAUGAGAUCCCGGACGUCACGAGGAGUUCCGGAAUGGUCCGGAGGUAAAGAUUUAUAUAUGGGAAGUCUUGUUUUGGUCACCGGAAAGGUUUCGCGCAUUAUCGGUAUUGUACCGGGAGUGCCGAAAGGGGUCCGGGGGUCCACCAAGGGGGUCCACCAGCCCCGGGGGGGCCACAUGGGCUGUAGGGGUGUGCGCCUUGGCCUAUAUGGGCCAAGGGCACCAGCCCCAAGAGGCCCAUGCGCCAAGAGAUAAGAUAAAGGGAGAGUUCUAAAGGGGGAAGGCACCUCCUAGGUGCCUUGGGGAGGAUGGACUCCUCCCUGGCCGCACCCUUCCUUGGAGGAAGGGCCAAGGCUGCGCCCCCCCUCUCCCUUGGCCCUAUAUAUAGUGGGGGAAGGGAGGGCAGCAAACCCUAAGCCCUGGCGCCCCCCUCUCCCUCCCGUGACACAUCUCCCUCCUUCCGCAGCGCUUGGCGAAGCCCUGUUGGAAUCCCGCUACUUCCACCACCACGCCGUCGUGCUGCUGGAUCUCCAUCAACCUCUCCUCCCCCCUUGCUGGAUCAAGAAGGAGGAGACGUCGCUGCUCCGUACGUGUGUUGAACGCGGAGGUGCCGUCCGUUCGGCACUAGGAUCAUCGGUGAUUUGGAUCACGACGAGUACGACUCCAUCAACCCCGUUCUCUUGAACGCUUCCGCUCGCGAUAUACAAGGGUAUGUAGAUGCACUCCUUCCUUCUCAUUGCUAGUAAACUCCAUAGAUUGAUCUUGGUGAUGCGUAGAAAAUUUUGAAUUUCUGCUACGUUCCCCAACAGUGGCAUCAUGAGCUAGGUCUAUGCGUAGUUUCUAUGCACGAGUAGAACACAAAGUAGUUGUGGGCGUCGAUUUUGUCAAUUUACUUGCCGUUACUAGUCUUAUCUUGAUUCGGCGGCAUCGUGGGAUGAAGCGGCCCGGACCGACCUUACACGUACACUUACGUGAGACAGGUUCCACCGACUGACAUGCACUAGUUGCAUAAGGUGGCUAGCGGGUGUCUGUCUCUCCCACUUUAGUCGGAUCGGAUUCGAUGAAAAGGGUCCUUAUGAAGGGUAAAUAGAAAUUGGCAUUAUCACGUUGUGGUUUUUGCGUAGGUAAGAAACGUUCUUACUAGAAACCCAUAGCAGCCACGUAAAACAUGCAACAACAAUUAGAGGACGUCUAACUUGUUUUUGCAGGGUAUGCUAUGUGAUGUGAUAUGGGCCAAAAGGAUGUGAUGAAUGAUAUAUGUGAUGUAUGAGAUUGAUCAUGUUCUUCUAAUAGGGAUCACGACUUGCAUGUCGAUGAGUAUGACAACCGGCAGGAGCCAUAGGAGUUGUCUUAAUUUAUUGUAUGACCUGUGUGUCAAUGAAAACGCCAUGUAAUUACUUUACUUUAUUGCUAACCGUUAGCCAUAGCAGUAGAAGUAAUAGUUGGCGAGACAACUUCACGAAGACACAAUGAUGGAGAUCAUGAUGAUGGAGAUCAUGGUGUCAUGCCGGUGACGAAGGUGAUCAUGCCGCGCCUCGAAGAUGGAGAUCAAAGGCGCAGGAUGAUAUUGGCCAUAUCACGUCACUUUAUGAUUUGCAUGUGAUGUUUAUCAUGUUUACAUCUUAUUUGCUUAGAACGACGGUAGCAUAAAUAAGAUGAUCCCUCACUAAAAUUUCAAGAGUCGUGUUCCCCCUAACUGUGCACCGUUGCGAAGGUUCGUUGUUUCGAAGCACCACGUGAUGAUCGGGUGUGAUAGGUUAUAACGUUCGAAUACAACGGGUGUUGACGAGCCUAGCAUGUACAGACAUGGCCUCGGAACACAUGCGAAACACUUAGGUUGACUUGACGAGCCUAGCAUGUAUAGACAUGGCCUCGGAACACAAGAGAUCGAAAGGUCAAACAUGAGUCGUAUAGUAGAUGCGAUGAACAUGGAGAUGUUCACCGAUGAUGACUAGUCCGUCUCACGUGAUGAUCGCACACGGCCUAGUUUGACUCGGAUCAUGUAUCACUUAGAUGACUAGAGGGAUGUCUAUCUGAGUGGGAGUUCAUUAAAUAAUCAGAUGAACUUAAUUAUCAUGAACAUAGUCAAAAGGUCUUUGCAAAUUAUGUCAUAGCUUACGCUUUAGUUCUACUGUUUAAGAUAUGUUCCUAGAGAAAAUUUAGUUGAAAGUUGGUAGUAGCAAUUAUGCGGACUGGGUCCGUAAACUGAGGAUUGUCCUCAUUGCUGCACAGAAGGCUUAUGUCCUUAAUGCACCGCUCGGUGUGCUGAACCUCAGCGUCGUCUAUAGAUGUCGCGAAACAUCUGACAUACACGUUUUGAUGACUACGUGAUAGUUCAGUGCGUAAUGCUAACGGUUUAGAAUUGUGGCACCAAAGACGUUUUGAAACGCCGCAGAACAUAUGAGUUGUUCCAAAGACUGAAAUUGGGAUUUCAGACUAAUGCCCACGUCAAGAGGUAUGAGACCUCUGACAAGUUUCUUAAGCCUGCAAAAUAAGGGAGAAAAGCUCAAUCGUUGAGCAUGUGCUUAGAUUGUCUGAGUACUACAAUCACUUGAAUCGAGUGGGAGUUAAUCUUCCAGAUAAGAUAGUGAUGGCUCUCCAUAGUCACUGCCACCAAGCUAUUAGAGCUUCGUGAUGAACUAUAACAUAUCAGGGAUAGACAUGAUGAUCCUUGAGCAACUCGCGAUGUUUGACACCGCGAAAGUAGAAAUCAAGAAGGAGCAUCAAUUGUUGAUGGUUGGUAAAACCACUAGUUUCAAGAAGGGCAAGGGAAGAAGGGAUACUUCAUGAAACAGCAAAUCAUUUGCUGCUCUAGUGAAGAAUCCCAAGGUUGAACCCAAACCCGAGACUAAGUGCUUCUGUAAUGAGGGGAACGGUCACUGAAGCAGAACUACCCUAGAUACUUGGUAGAUGAGAAGGCAGGCAAGGUCGACAGAAGUAUAUUGGAUAUACAUCAUAUGAAUGUGUACUUUACUAGUACUCCUAGCAGCACCAGGGUAUUAGAUACCGGUUCAGUUGCUAAGUGUUAGUAACUCGAAAUAAAAGCUGCGGAAUAAACGGAGACUAGCUAAAGGUGAGAUGACGAUAUGUGUUGGAAGUGUUUCCAAGGUUGAUGUGAUCAAGCAUCGCAUUCUCCCUCUACCAUCGAGAUUGGUGUUAAACCUAAAUAAUUGUUAUUUGUUGCGUUGAGCAUAAACAUGAUUGGAUUAUGUUUAUCGCAAUACCGUUAUUCAUUUAAGGAGAAUAAUGGUUACUCUGUUUAUUUGAAUAAUACCUUCAAUGGUCUUGCACCUAAAAAUGAAUCUCGAUCGCGGUGAUACACAUGUUCGUGCCAAAAAAAUAUAAAAUAGUAAUGAUAGUACCACAUACUUGUGGCACUGCCUUUUGAGUCAUAUUGGUAUAGAACACAUGAAGAAGCUCCAUGUAGAUGGAUCUUUGGACUCACUCGAUUUUGAAAAGAUUGAGACAUGCGAACCAUGUCUAUUGGUAUAUAUGCAUGAAGAAACUCCAUGCAGAUGGAUCGUUUGGACUCACUUGAUUUUGAAUCACUUGAGACAUGCAAAUCAUACCACAUGGGCAAGAUGACUGAAAGGCCUCGUUUUCAGUAAGAUGGAACAAGAGAGCAACUUGUUGGAAGUAAUACAUUUUUAUGUAUGCAGUCCAAUGAGUGCUGAGGCAUGCAGUGGAUAUCGUUAUGUUCUUACUUCACAGAUGAUUUGAGUAGAUGCUGAGUGUAUUUACUUGAUGAAACACAAGUCUGAAUUAUUGAAAGGUUCAAGUAAUUUCAGAGUGAAGUUGAAGAUCGUCGUGACAACAGGAUAAAAUAUCUAUGAUAUGAUCAUAGAGAUAUCUGAGUUAUGAGUUUGGCACACAAUUAAGACAAAUUGGAAAGUGUUUCACAAUUAAUACCGCCUGGAACACCACAGUGUGAUGGUGUGUCCGAACAUCAUAACUGCACCCUAUUGGAUAUGGUGCAUACCAUGAUGUCUCUUAUCGAAUUACAACUAUCGUUUAUGGUUUAGGCAUUAGAGACAACCGCAUUCACUUUAAAUAGGGCACCACGCAAUUCCGUUGAGACGACACCGUAUGAACUAUGGUUUAGAGAAACCUAAGCUGUCGUUUCUUAAAAGUUUGGGGCUGCGAUGCUUAUGUGAAAAAGUUUCAGGCUGAUAAGCUCGAACCCAAAGCGGAUAAAUGCAUCUUCAUAGAAUACCCAAAACAGUUGGGUAUACCUCCUAUUUCAGAUCUGGAAGCAAAAGUAAUUGCUUCUAGAAACGAGUCCUUUCUCGAGGAAAAGUUUCUCUCGAAAGAAUUGAGUGGGAGGAUGGUGGAGACUUGAUAAGGUUAUUGAACCGUCACUUGAACUAGUGUGCAGCAGGGCACAUGAAGUUGUUCCUGUGGCACCUACACCAAUUGAAGUGGAAGCUUAUGAUAGUGAUCAUGAAACUUCGGAUCAAGUCACUACCAAACCUCGUAGGUCGACAAGGAUAUGUACUACUCCUGAGUGGUACGUAAUCCUAUCUUAGAUAUCAUGUUGUUAGACAAUACUGAACCUACGAGCUAUGGAGAAGCGAUGGUGGGCCCAUAUUCCGACAAAUGGUUAGAAGGCAUGAAAUCUGAGAUAGGAUCCAUGUAUCAGAACAAAGCAUGGACUUUGGUGAACUUGCCCGAUGAUCGGCAAGCCAUUGAGAUAAAUGGAUCUUUAAGAAGAAGACGGACAUGGACGGUAAUGUUACCGUCUAUGAAGCUCGACUUGUGGCAAAGAGUAUUUUCACAAGUUCAAGGAGUUGACUACGAUGAGAUUUUCUCAUCCGUAGUGAUGCUUAAGUCCGUCAGAAUCAUUUUAGCAUUAGCUGCAUUUAUGAAAUCUGGCAGAUGGAUGUCAAAACAAGUUUCCUUACCAGUUUUCGUAAGGAAAGGUUGUAUGUGAUACAAUCAGAAAGGUUUUGUCGAUCCUAAGGAUGCUAAAAGGUAUGCUAGCUCCAGCGAUCCUUCCAUGGACUAGAGCAAGCAUCUCGGAGUCAGAAUAUACGCUUUGAUGAAGUGAUCAAAGUUUUUGGGUUUAUACAAAGUUUGUUAGAAACUUGUAUUUACAAUAAAGUGAGUGGGAGCUCUACAACAUUUCUGAUAAGUAUAUGUGAAUGACAUAUUGUUGAUCCGAAAUGAUGUAGAAUUUCUGGAAAGCAUAAAGGGUUGUUUGAAAGGAGUUUUUCAAGGGAAGACCUGGAUAAAGCUGCUUACAUAUUGGGCAUCAAGAUCUAUAGAGAUAGAUCAAGACGCCUGAUGAUACUUUCAAAGAACGCACACCUUGACAUGAUUUUGAAAGAGUUCAAAAUAGAUCAGCAAAGAAGGAGUUCUUGGCUGUGUUACAAGGUGUGAGUAUUGAGUAAGACUCAAGACCUGACCACAGCAGAAGAGAGAGAAAGGACGAAGGUCGUCCCCUAUGCUUUAGACGUAGGCUCUACAGUAUGCUAUGCUGUGUACAGCACAUGAAGUGUGCCUUGCCAUGAGUUGGUCAAGGGGUACAAUAGUGAUCCGGGAAUGGAUCACAUGACAGCGGUCGAACUUAUCCUUAGUAUCUAGUGGACUAAGGAAUUUUCUCGAUUAUGGAGGUGAAAAGGAGUUCGUCGUAAAGGGUUACGUCGAUGCGAAAUUUGACACUAAACCGGAUGACUCUGAGUAGUAGACCGGAUUCGUAUAGUAGAGCACUUAUUUGAAAUGGCUCCAAGUAGCGCGUGGUAGCAUCCACAAGAUGACAUAGAUAUUCGUAAAGCACACACGGAUCUGAAAGGUUCAGACCCGUUGACUAAUAACCUCUCUCACAAGCAUAACAUGAUCAAACCAGAACUCAUUGAGUGUUAAUCACAUAGUGAUGUGAACUAGAUUGUUGACUCUAGUAAACUCUUUAGAUGUUGGUCACAUGGUGAUGUGACCUGUGAGUGUUAAUCACAUGGUGAUGUGAACUAGAUUAUUGACUCUAGUGCAAGUGGGAGACUGUUGGAAAUAUGCCCUAGAGGCAAUAAUAAAUUGGUUAUUAUUAUAUUUCCUUGUUCAUGAUAAUCGUUUAUUAUCCAUGCUAGAAUUGUAUUGAUAGGAAACGCAGAUACAUGUGUGGAUACAUAGACAACACCAUGUCCCUAGUGAGCCUCUAGUUGACUAGCUCGUUGAUCAAUAGAUGGUUACGGUUUCCUGACCAUGGACAUUGGAUGUCGUUGAUAACGGGAUCACAUCAUUAGGAGAAUGAUGUGAUGGACAAGACCCAAUCCUAAGCUUAGCACAAGAUCGUGUAGUUCGUUUGCUAAAGAGCUUUUCUAAUGUCAAGUAUCAUUUCCUUAGACCAUGAGAUUGUGCAACUCCCGGAUACCGUAGGAAUGCUUUGGGUGUACCAAACGUCACAACGUAACUGGGUGGCUAUAAAGGUGCACUACAGGUAUCUCCGAAAGUGUCUGUUGGGUUGGCACGAAUCGAGACUGGGAUUUGUCACUCCGUGUAAACAGAGAGGUAUCUCUGGGCCCACUCGAUAGGACAUCAUCAUAAUGUGCACGAUGUGACCAAGGAGUUGAUCACGGGAUGAUGUGUUACGGAACGAGUAAAGAGACUUGCCGGUAAUGAGAUUGAACAAGGUAUCGGGAUACCGACGAUCGAAUCUCGGGCAAGUACUAUACCGAUUGACAAAGGGAAUUGUAUACGGGAUUGAUUGAAUCCUCGACAUCGUGGUUCAUCCGAUGAGAUCAUCGAGGAGCAUGUGGGAGCCAACAUGGGUAUCCAGAUCCCGCUGUUGGUUAUUGACCGGAGAGUCGUCUCGGUCAUGUCUGCGUGUCUCCCGAACCCGUAGGGUCUACACACUUAAGGUUCGGUGACGCUAGGGUUGUAGAGAUAUUAGUAUGCGGUAACCCGAAAGUUGUUCGGAGUCCCGGAUGAGAUCCUGGACGUCACGAGGAGUUCCGGAAUGGUCCGGAGGUAAAGAUUUAUAUAUGGGAAGUCUUGUUUUGGUCACCGGAAAGGUUUCGCGCAUUAUUGGUAUUGUACCGGGAGUGCCGAAAGGGGUCCGGGGUCCACCAAGGGGGUCCACCAGCCCCGGGGGGGCACAUGGGCUGUAGGGGUGUGCGCCUUGGCCUAUAUGGGCCAAGGGCACCAGCCCCAAGAGGCCCAUGCGCCAAGAGAUAAGAUAAAGGGAGAGUCCUAAAGGGGGAAGGCACCUCCUAGGUGCCUUGGGGAGGAUGGACUCCUCCCUGGCCGCACCCUUCCUUGGAGGAAGGGCCAAGGCUGCGCCCCCCUCUCCCUUGGCCCUAUAUAUAGUGGGGGGAAGGGAGGGCAGCAAACCCUAAGCCCUGGCGCCCCCCUCUCCCUCCCGUGACACAUCUCCCUCCUCCCGCAGCGCUUGGCGAAGCCCUGUUGGAAUCCCGCUACUUCCACCACCACGCCGUCGUGCUGCUGGAUCUCCAUCAACCUCUCCUCCCCCUUGCUGGAUCAAGAAGGAGGAGACGUCGCUGCUCCGUACGUGUGUUGAACGCGGAGGUGCCGUCCGUUCGGCGCUAGGAUCAUCGGUGAUUUGGAUCACGACGAGUACGACUCCAUCAACCCCAUUCUCUUGAACGCUUCCGCUCGCGAUCUAGAAGGGUAUGUAGAUGCACUCCUUCCCUCUCGUUGCUAGUAAACUCCAUAGAUUGAUCUUGGUGACGCGUAGAAAAUUUUGAAUUUCUGCUACGUUCCCCAACAUUUACAACACAUUAUCAAUUGGCUAUUCUCACCUAGAGGUCUUAAGGGGUCGACGAUGGGAACGACUGCGGGGAUGAGGCAGGGGCAAACUUGAUUACUGCAUAAACAAAAUAUAUUAACCACUUACUAUAAAUAAACUAAUUCUAUUAAGCACUUACUAUAAAUAAACUAAUUUUAUUAAGCACUUAGUAUAAAUAAACUAGUUCUAUUUAGCACUUGCUAUAAAUAAACUAGUUCUAUUAAGAACUUACUAUAAAUCACCUAAUUAGUUAACCUAGUUAACCUAGAUAAUUAACCUAAUUAAACUAGUUAACCUUAUACAUGGGACAUUUUUAUUCAAAAUGUUCUAUACCUAAAAGUUUCUAGUACUAAAUUUUUUACUAAACCCUAAAAAUAUGCCCUAAGUUCAUAAUGUAACAAGUACAGGACAUUUUUAUAAAUUCUACCAACUAAAAAUUACUAUUACUGAAAUUUCUAAUCAAAAGACCUAAAACUUCCUAUUCUAUUCAAAACACCUAAAAUAGUAAAAAAAAACUACAUUUACUCAAAUGACCUAAAAAAUUAUUUUAUUAAAAAACCUACAUUUUACAAGGUCUGCAUUUUAAAACCUACAUUUAAAUUACCCACAUUCNNNNNNNNNNNNNNNNNNNNNNNNNNNNNNNNNNNNNNNNNNNNNNNNNNNNNNNNNNNNNNNNNNNNNNNNNNNNNNNNNNNNNNNNNNNNNNNNNNNNNNNNNNNNNNNNNNNNNNNNNNNNNNNNNNNNNNNNNNNNNNNNNNNNNNNNNNNNNNNNNNNNNNNNNNNNNNNNNNNNNNNNNNNNNNNNNNNNNNNNNNNNNNNNNNNNNNNNNNNNNNNNNNNNNNNNNNNNNNNNNNNNNNNNNNNNNNNNNNNNNNNNNNNNNNNNNNNNNNNNNNNNNNNNNNNNNNNNNNNNNNNNNNNNNNNNNNNNNNNNNNNNNNNNNNNNNNNNNNNNNNNNNNNNNNNNNNNNNNNNNNNNNNNNNNNNNNNNNNNNNNNNNNNNNNNNNNNNNNNNNNNNNNNNGAAGGGAGGGAGGAGGGAGGGGAUGGAGUAGGGAGCUAGGGAGGGCGGAGGACGGUCGGAGGGAGGGAGGCAGACAUACAGCGAGCGGCGGCAGCAGUGGGCAGCAAUGCGGCGGCGGUGACGAGCCGGUAGCGGCACCAACACAUGUGAGAUGAGAUGGAGAGUGUGGAGGGGGAGAGUGAGGGCUGCGUGCGGUGAAGGUAAGUUAGACUUACCAGUAGCACGGUAAAGGUAAACGUGCUACGGAUACUCCCAUAUCAGCAGCGCGUUUUCCAGGCAGCGCUGCUACUAUGCCUAGCUUGAUGGCAACGGUGAUGGCCAAAAUAGUAGUAGAGAGUUUUCGUGUUGUCGCGCUACUGUUAUAUUUGUAGCAGUAGCGCGGUCGGUAACAAAGCGCUACUGUUAUGUAUCAGUAGAGCCUGAUUCUAACCCACGCUACUGCUAAUCCUCUGUGUAUAAGAUUUUUUCUAGUAGUGUUAGGGGGCGAUGGGGAAGAGAAAAACGGCCCCGCCGCCACCAUCCCGGGGCCUGGCACGGCUUCACCGGCUGGCCCACCGGCAACGGCGACGCAGGGGUGGACGGGAGGUGGAGGGGCCAGCCGGCGACGGCUAGGGUUCCCCCGAGUCGCUCAACUCGGGCGACGCGAGGGAUGGGAACGAAGCCCGACACUGGAUUAAUUUGAAAGGUCGCCUCAAGCUCGUUUCUUAGAAACAAAAAGGCACACGCUCACAUCAUUACAAACACACAAUGACACUGUGCCUAUUGAAGACUGGGUCAAAGUUGCGGAGCUGGAAGAUUGAUGAAGAGCGAUGCAAAAGAAAAAAAUUGGAUUGACAAAGAACUCGCUAUUAACGAAAACGUCAUCCCCCACUGCAAUGCAAGAAUAAUCCGUAAUCAGAAUAGCUCCACACACGACCUUUUAUGCAUGAUAGUUGGACGAUGGUGGGAUCUGAUGUUCCUUAAGUAUGGAGGGAUUUAAUCUAACGAUUAUUAGCUAGUGUCGUCCAUGCAUCGGCCGCAUAGUCAUCGGCUGCGUAGCACUGCUCAUCCGCAAUCGUGAGAUACCAAAGCGUCAAAUCUAGGGUUUACUUUUUAGUGAGCUAGGGGAACUACUGUGCUCUAAUCAUCCAACCACUGGUUGCGUACGCUGUAGGCGGCAGGACUCCCUUGAUAUACUUCUACCGGUGAAUUAAGCUCACUUCAGUGAAGAAAAGGUGCGUACGACCUUGUCACUAUCAGUCCAAAGAGUAAAUUGUGGUAGAACAUGUCUAUCUGGAAAAAAACAUAAUAUAGACAUAGACGUUCAUAAAUAUGAGUGUACACUCAUUCUUAUAAACAUACUUACUAUCCUAUGAGCACCACCAAGACUGAGAUGACAAAUCAGAUUGGUGAUGUCACUACAAAUGUCUCAUAGUCGACAGGGAUGUUAUCUCCCACUGACGAACAUCAUUAAAAAGCCUAAAAUAAUCUAGGAAACGCAAGCGCAAGCGUCCAUGCAAAGUCUAAUACUUGAAUUUGGAUAGGCUGGUUCAUUGGCAAAACACAUUUAUAGAUGAUGUUGCAAUCCAAAGUUACAACUCUUAAGUAGUUUCAACAAGUAUCUCGGGUUCGAAAGGUAAAUCAUAGGGUAUUGGUUAUGAUAGAUUAGGAUUUUUUUAUGAUUAAUUGUAAUCUCUCCAUCAUGAUUCUUAUCUUAUCUCUGGAAGCGGUUUCUUGGCAUUCAUGUCUUGUACUCUACAUAAACAGGUUGCAAACUAGCCGAAUUCUAGCGAGUUGGCCUUGGCUCAGGUUGGCUCAUACUAAACCUCGAGCAAGCUCAUAUCUUAGUGAAGCUCAUACUAAAAUUGCUCAUACACAACUUGUAAUGUUUUCCAGUUAAUCUUGAGCUAGUUUCAGGCUAAAUAAGACCAUAAAAAUUAUAUAAUCUAAGGGCAUUUUCCUAUAGAUAGGCCACAUCAACAUAAUAAAACAUACAAGAAUGCAGGUACUGUUAAACUUUGGCAAAAAUGAAAAAAUAUUUAGCACACGGCGGAGGACGUAUCAUAUUAAGGUCUAAAUUUGCUCUAUGAACCUCCCAUGUUUAUUAGGAACACAAUAAAUAUGUAGACGCCUACAUACACUCAUAGAGACUCAUCCCAAUAAACAAACACACACUCUAUCCUUAUGAGCACCUCAGAGAGACUGAACCACUAGAUAUUGAGGUCGAUGAAGUCAUCACAGACGCCUCGCUGCAAUGGAAAUGAUGCCUCCCGCUGAAAUGAUAUUCCAGUGUUCGGCGUACAACCACCCUCCUAACCAUCCAACCAUCAGUUGAAUGAUAUUAACCUUCCAUGUUAACUACUCCCUCCGUCCCAUAAUAUAAAAACGUUUUUGACAUUAGUGUAGUGUAAAAACGUUCUUAUAUUAAAAACGUUUUUAUAUUAUGGGACGGAGGGAGUAAUAGAUAAAAUGAAGACAAAUCACGUACGGAACAUAGAUGGUAAUAAAUUAUCAUAUUUCGGUUUAAUACACAAGAGGAUCAUUCAAUAUAGUUAUAUUAUGUUGAACUAUCGAGUUAAAUUGAGCGAGAUAGUGUUGGCUCAAGAUUCGCUCAUUUCUCCGAAAAUCUGCUUCUGAGCUCGGGCUCAGAUGAUUCCGCAAUCCACACCGAUGGUUUUGCAUCAGGAUUUGUGCGUCUUUGGGUAUUUUCGGCCGUAUUUUCGUUGUCUGGCGCGGCAGACUGUCAGCAUUUAUUGCUACGGAGCGUUGGGCUACUGCCGCCGGACAGAUAGAGGCCCGAUGGCUCGUCAUCUUAUCUGAGCUCAUGUCGUUGCGGGACAGCUCUACGAUAGAUGGCUAGGCACUUUACCUGAGCCACCCUAAGCCGUAUGACUUAAGUUUCCACAACGACGGCGUCAACACGUCUGGAAACAUAAAUUCAUUGGCCUACCCUCAGCCCAUCUGCCCAACGCUCUCAUUCACUCUCCCAUUCCCCAGUCUCUCCAUUGUUCACUCAUACCCAACUCCGUCCCCAUCUCCGGCGACAUGUCCGCUUCGUCUACAUCCUCUCUCCCCGUCCCGGCGGACUGGCUGCUACCCCUGAUGGCAUAUCCACUCUGCGGCGACGAGGUAGUGACAGACGUCGCAAGGAGUGGGAAUCAGGUUGGGCAUCGUUUCUACAAAUGCAUCCGUUAUGAUGUAAGUAUUUUUUGAUCCGAUCUUGUCAGGUUUUUCAUAUUGAAUCAAGAUUUCACACACAUCUCACCGGACUGACAUAGAAGAGUUUUCACACACAUCGUUUCGAUGGACGCAUGUUGUCCAAGUGUGGCUACGUCAGACGCAUUUACAUGCCACGAAGAAAUGCUUGAUCAAGGGAAAAAACAAAGGCCUCAACAUCCAGACGACGCUGCUAGUCCCAGUCAGCAUCAGCCAAAAAAAACUGCUCAAAUAAAGUUGUUUCGCUCAAACAUAUUCAGUAACCAUGAUCAUGGAUACAAAACGCAACUCAACAGGAUGCAACCACUGUAAAUCUAUUUUUAGCUUUCGAAAUGCCAAGGCCUCCCAUAUAAAAUUAUGUAUGAUUCAAAUACAGAGACUGCAGGAAUAUAUUUUUUAGGAAUCAAAUAGUGCAGAAACAACAAUAAACAUGGUAACAAUACUAAAGUUUACGUGUUGAUAUCAUCUCAAAAAGCAGUUCAUAAAUUCAGACUAGCUACCAAAUUUUUCAGAAAACCAUAAAUCCUUUUGCGUGCUCUAGGACACAACUCUAGAUCGUUACAGACAUGGACAGUACAUCUCAGACUAGCUAUCAAAUUGUUCUCACAACAUCCCACAAUUUUUUCUGCUUGCCCAAGGAACGCAAGACCAUGAUAUCUCAUAUAGGAACAACAUACAAAUCCUGAUCCGGGACGGACUGCAAAUCAGGCCUCAUGAAAAAGACAAAUACAUAUUCAUCGACCAAAAAUUGCACAGCUCAGCUCUCGGCAAACCCAAGAGGCCUCUUGCAUGUGUUCCGCCAGUGUCCUUCUAUUCCGCAGUUCUUGCAUCUGCCUGGUUUCCGCGGCUUCUUCGGAGCAUCCCCUCGCUCUGGACAUGUGGUCCUCUUGUGCCCCUCGCGGCGGCAAAUGCUGCAGAACCUGGUUCUUUUACUCAGCCCUUCGUACGGUGCCUUCUCCCUGCUGCUUGUCGGCCUGCCAGUUCCUCUACACUUUUCUGGUGCUGCGAGGCACUGAAGUUCAUUCAUGCCGACAGAAUUCGCAGCACUGUUGCAUUGGUCAGCCUCCUGAUCAACCAAAGCAGGAUCCCCGUUGCAAGUUGCACUGGCAUUUCCAUUUUCAAUGAGACGAUCCUCGAAUGCCAAUCCAUCCCGCGCGACCGCCAGAGGCGCUCCACCCUAUAGCAGAGAGUCCAGCCCAGAAUGCAUGUAGUCAUAGCAUGCAGCACUUGCGUCCCCCAUUCACACAACUUCCAUGGCUUUAAAAUAUAAUGUUGCAUGCCUGUACGUGAACGACAAAUUAUGCGAUUUGUCUUUCUGGUAUUGAACCAGGUGAUCCGGUAGUAUAUCCCUCGCAUCUCUUGUCCACCUUUUCAGGAUAUGGUACUUAGGGAUUUCAUCAAGAGGUAGAAUCUCCAUCACC